rnacentral:lncRNA from 1 species
AUCUCAAAUAUUUAGCGUUAAGCUGGUGUCAGCUUGGAGAAGAUCCACUGGGUGUGCUCGCUCCACACGUGCCAAAUCUCACCUAUUUAAGUCUUAACAGGGUGAAUAGUGCAAGCACUUUGGUUCUUUCUGCUGGGUGCUUUCCUCACCUGAAGACGCUCGUCUUGAAGCGAAUGCCGGAUGUCAAGCAGAUGGAAAUCGGAGAUGGUGCUCUUCCACGUAUUGAAGGUCUUUACAUUGUGUCCCUAACACAGCUGGAUAAGGUUCCUCAAGGCAUCGAGUUGCUUCUUUCUCUGAAGAGGCUUUGGCUGCUGUACCUGCACGAUGAGUUUAAAACUCUGUGGCAAACGAGUGGGAUGCACCAGAAGAUGCAGCACGUUCCAGAGAUUCGUAUCUAGGACAACUAGAUGGUAAAUCUCCAUUGGUAUGCUUGUAUGAUGUGUCUGCUCAGAACUGUGUUUGUUGGGCACUUUAUCUCUUUUUAUUCCAAUAAGCCAUGAAUUCUUCCUUUUGAUUUUUUUUAUUGUACAUUGAAACACCCAUGUAUGUGCUGUGUGUUGGUUCAGUUGCUUUAGGAAUACUACUUUUGUUCAAGAACACUUCCCUUCUGUAUUUAACUUUUGUAAAUGAUGUUAUGGUCAACAGAUUUUGUGCAUGUGAGGUGCAUAAUAUGUGAACUUACGAACCAGCAGAAUAUUCAUAAUUUCAGGGCGUUUACUUUAUUUAUAUGCUACUAAAUUGAACAGUGCUCUUCACUUUGCCACUAACUUUUUGCUUUUCAUUUUUUAUGCUGUUAUUCCACGAUGGUGCUUCUAGAAAGUUCAAUUUCUCGUAAUUCUCAGCCAAUUUUCCAUUAGCACCCAAAAAUACUGAAAAAAAUAUUUUCUAAAACAAUAUGUGCAGGGACAACUAUCCUAAAAUUUACUUUUGUUGAAAUGUGUACGUUUCGAUCUAUAUCAGCUCUUAUGGUACAUCCUUUUUAAAGGAUUUCUACUAUAUUGUUUUUCUUCAAAGAUGAUAUAAAAAAAUUUGUUUAAAUGGUCCUGGGUUUUUUCAUGCUCUUUUUUAUAUUUCCUAUAAUAUUUCCUGCGCUUUCUGUGAUCUUUAGCACAUUCUUUUACGUAUUUUUAGAGACCAUGUAGAUGAGCUUUCGCAAUAGAAUCAAAGUUGUGAUAGCAUGUUUAUUACUUGCAUUCUAAGGAAAUAGUGCCAUGAAUAAAUGAGAUGUGCUAAUUUCAAAUGGCCAAGUUAAGAGCAUUGUUUGAGUUAAUGUUAUAAAGUAAAUGAUCUCGUAGAAAAAUAAAACAUUUGGGCCCUAAUACACAUACUUGAUAAAAAACUAGCAAAAUACCCAUGCGUUGCUACGGUAAAAGAUCAAUUGUGUUUUUUAAACUUAUGACAUUUUUUAUUUCCAUCACUAAAUUUUUAUUGCACUUAUUGGAUGUUUGCACGUUUAAUAGAAAACCAAAAGAAUUUUAAAUUAAUUAUUUCUUUCAACUCAAAUACUCAUUAAAUUAAAACUUUUUUAUUCAAGCAAGAGAGUUGCUAUAGAAAAAUAUGUAAUGAUGUUGUACCAUACAAAGCAACCAUAUUUCAUAUAUAUUCUGGCUUAGUAAACCCCGGCUUAGUAAACCCCGUUGUUGUCCGAACAUAGAGUAUAUGUGUUGGUAGAUGCGGAUCCAUUUCUAAGUGCAAGUAGCAUAGCAUACAACCAGCCUGCACCGACACGGCUCAAUAUGCGAUAAUUUUUAUUUUCAUGUAUUUUUUGUACUCUAGUAUAUAUUGGACUCCUAAUAAAUAUCAUGUUUUUUCAAGCGACAAACAGUUCUUAAAGUUUGGAAACUAAAUAGAUAGCUUGAAAUAUUUUAAAAAAAAAUAUUUACAUGUAUGUUCCUUGCAAACUAAGAAUAUUUUUUUACCGCGAUACCAAAAGGAAAGUAUGGCUACGACCAUUACCAUACGUCGCAGGGGAUGGUGGUUGCCCUAUAGAAUUUCCUUAUUUUUACUCGUAUAAUCUGAAAUGGUAGGAGAGCUUCUCAGGGAGAGGUCAAAGAAUCAAAUACCUUCAUGCAUUUUCUUUGAGUUUUUACUUGCCUAUUUAAUUUCCAGCGUCGGUUUUCCUCGUGGGCAGGUGCCGGUUUUCCCUGGUUCGCUUUUCCUCUCCUCCCUCCCUCUCUCCUCCCUCUCCUUCUCCUCCGUCGGAUCCGGCCGGCCCCCACUCCCUCUCCCCCAACUCCUCCUCCCUCUUCCCCAGCCGAGGCGGCGCGGUCGGGGCCGGGCCAGACGAAAAAAAGAGGCAGAAGAAUAUUAAGUAGAGUUGGAGCCUCCGACGCCGGCGCCCAGACGUGCGAGGACCCUAGCCUCUCCCCUUCGCAUCCUUCUCGCUCUCCCUCAACAUCCAUGCACCGACCGCCCCCACACUCACCUCCAUCCCGUCCACCAUCCACCUUUUCAACCAAAUCUCCACACUCGCCGUCUGCCUCCACCCCUCCGACGCGCAGUCCCCGUCUCGCCACCCCCACCCGCCUUAACUUUGCCACCUCCUCCGUCAUCUCGCCACUGCCCGCCUCCAACCGGGCCUCUCCCGCUCCUUCCCGUCCGGCGCGCCCGUCACCGUGGGCUGCUGCCGCACGCUCGUCAUGUUCCGGGCCAACCUCAGAUUCCAUGACCACGAGCCGUUCCACGCCGCGGUCGGGGCGUCGUCCUCCCUCCUCUCUGUCUUCGUCUUCGACCCGCGGGACUUCGGCAAGUCACCCUCGGCCUCUCCCGCACCUCCUCUCCUCCCCCCUCUCUCUCUUCCCUCUCCUUCUCCGUCGGAUCCGGCCGGCCCCCACCUCCUAUCCUCCCUCUCCUUCUCCUCCGUCGGAUUCGGCCGGCCCCCACUCCCUCUUCCCAGGUCAAGGCAGCGGCGCGGCCGAGGCGGCACGGGUGCGACCGGGGCUAGGGCCGGGGUAGGGCGGCGUGGGAGCCCUCUGACAAGUGGGACCCACAGGACGGACGAAAAAAUUUGGCAGAAGCGUUACUCGCUUUAAUAUUAGGUAGACAUAAGUUUCCUUUAGGAAACUAAAGGUUAUUACAAAUGAACUUCCUUUUUGUAGAUUUAUUCAUCAAUAAAGAUAUUAUGUAAAUCACAAUCAGUUAAGAGUUUGCAAAAACGGUUGGAAGACCUUUCCGCCGCUGCUGCCCGCUGGAAUCGAUGAAACCCAUGGUUGAAGGGCGGGAAGGCGAGGUCCUACUACUCGACCGUCCGACCCCUCCCACCAUUGAACUUUGGUUUGGAUCAGAACUCAGGUGAUCGUCCGCUUCCAUCUCCCCUGUGUAUUCCUUUUGCGUUUGUUCCAAUCAAACACUAUUAUUGAACUGAAACCAUCUCCCAAACGAACUGAACAAAUCUCCUAAGAAAUCUGUUGACGUAUCAGCAAACAACGGUGCAUUUGCAUUCCAUUACCCGUCAUUCCGUUGUGUGUAUGAAGUAAUAAUCCGUAGCAGGCCUCAAGUUUCCGAAUGUCAUAUGUUCAUUGACAUCUUGGAUAGCAUAAUUAUCAAACGAACUAUGUUCACUUUAAUACAGAUUCUAAAUGGGGGAAAACAUGUAGACAUGCAGAAAGGGUGCAUGAAAGACUCCUGGUUUACAAGAAAAUGAUACAAUACUUGCAACCUAUGAGGCUAUGACUGAAUUCAAAUACGAUGGAAAAGGUAUUGUAGCUAUAACUCAAGAGUGGAGUAAUUUAGACAAUGGAAUGAUAAGAUACUUCAAUGAUCAUUAAGGAAGGAAAUUUUAUGACUUGAGAUUGACCGCCUUGAAAUAUUCUUCACAGUAGUCUGGCAAACCAAAUUAUCUAGUAACUCUACCAACUGACGAGAAUCCUCUACUGAAUGCUUCACCUUUUGCUGCAAAUAAAAAGGGCAUCAUAAACCAUGGCGACCUAUCUUUGGGUAGAGGUACGUGGAUUAAUUUUAAAUUUUUAUUUUCACUUAUCUUUAAUUUGCAGUUAUUGCCUUGUGCUAAUUCAGGUAGCUGCAAAAAUUUACUAAUUUUAGAGUUAGUGUUAGAGUUUUAUUUGUUUCUGUAAAGGUGAGGUCGAUAUCCCUAAAGGUACAAAAACUUUAUGAUAAAUGAAUUGCACGUAUCCUAUGUGAAGUUGGGCAUAGUUGGUCACAUAAUAUUGCAAGCACUAAAUGUGUGCACUUUGCAGCCCUAUGGCUGGUUGCUAUCUGCAUGUGGCAUGCUACGAAAGUACCUCUGACAUCUGAACAGAGCAAAUUCGAGCUAAGUACCGUAAAAUAGGUACGUCGAUAGAUGUAUAUGAGAGAACUGACCCGAUUAAAUUUGCAAAAGAUAGUAUAUUAGACAUUUCUGGAGGGAAAUUGGCUGCACAUGAGAAUAAAAAGAGAAGGGAAAGAAAGCUGACCAUCAUGCUCCCACAAGGAUCAGAAUCCUUGUCAUGCAUGUAUGAAAUGACGAACUACGAAGCCACUCGGCCAUUGUUAGCAAUGGAUGAACCAGUUGAAGCGGCACAAAUCACUUGCUGUCCCAUAUUAUUGAAAGCAGAAUCUGGGGGUGUUUUCUUCCCGUGUCUUAUUUUUAGCACGUGUCACAUCGAAUGUUUAGAUACUAAUUAGGAGUAGUAAACGUAGAGUAUUUACAAAACCAAUUACAUAAGUGGAAUCUAAACGGCGAGACGAAUCUAUUAAGCCUAAUUAAGCCUAAUUAUUCCAUCAUUAGCAAAUAUUUACUGUAGCAACACAUUGUCAAAUCAUGGACUAAUUAGGCUUAAUAGAUUCGUCUCGCCGUUUAGAUUCGUCUUAUGUAAUGGGUUUUGUAAAUAGUCUACGUUUAAUACUUCUAAUUAGUAUCUAAACAUUUGAUGUGACGGGUGCUAAAGUUUAGCAAGUGGAAGAAAAUAGGCCCUCUGUUUCGUCAUGUGGCAUUUGGGUGUGAGUCUCCUGUACCUGUUCCUCUGACAAAACAGAACAAUCUACAAUCUCAUUCUCAGUUUUCCCUGGUACAGUGGAAUCUCCUCCAUGAUCUACCUUAGGUGGUAUAGCCCUUUUGAGGACAACUAUUGGCCUGUUGGGAUGUUCCUUAGCUGCCCUCACCCAGUUUGCUUUAGUACCAUCAGUGACUCUACAAUCAAGCAUUACUUCGCUCAGUCGUGUGAAACCUUUGAUCUGGAUUCCACAGAGGCCAUUCAUAUCUUUACAGAGCAGCUGAAGAGAUUUAAGAAAUGGCAAAGCACCUUCUUCGACCUUUGGAAAUGUUGGACGCUGCAGCACAAAACAUAGGCCGAGCUCUAGGGAUCAAAACUACUAUACUUUUCUAAAGAUGCAGUAGUAAGGUGGAAUAGUGCAGUGUGGAAGGGGGAGGAGAGCAGGAUUUGUGGAGCUUAGUUGCAACUGUGAACUCCUAACUGCGAUUCAAUGAUUGCUUCAAAGCAUGAUGUAAAUUUCUUCAAGCCAACGUCAAAUAUUGAAGAACUGGGGUUGUAUUACAAGAUCUUUAAAUAAAAUCUAUGGUGAACUAAUCAAGUGAAAAAAAUUUCUUCAAUUUCUUUUGUGGAAAAAAAUCAGCGCAUUAUUAUUUCCUCGGAAAGAUGCAUAGCUAUAGAAAAUGACAGAGAUUUCUUGCCAAAUAAAAACUCUGAUGACCAAAUAGUAAGCUUGAAGAUCUGGAUGUAGAUGAACAGCACCGGGCACACCGCACACAGGCAUAAGACUUUAGAAGAGAGUAGUACACCUUACUACCUCAGAGCUUUUCCAGAAUUAGACUAGGAGUGUUUGAAUCCAUGGACUAAUUUUUAGUUUAGGUCACCUUGGAUGUUUGGAUACCAAUUAAAAAGACUAAAUGUGAACUUAUUAUAAAACUAAUUGCAUAAGCCGUUGGUAAUUCGCGAGAUGAAUCCAUUAAGCCUAAUUAAUCUAUGAUUAGCAUUAUAUUUACUGUAGCAUCGCAUGGUCAAAUCAUGGACUAAUUAGACUAAACAGAUUCAUCUUACAAAUUAAUCUUUAUUUAUGCAAUUGGUUUUGUAAAAAACCUAUAUUUAAUACUUCUAAUUAGUAUCUACGUAUUCGAUAUGUAUUCGAUGUGAUUGUUCGAUGUGACACAGGGACUAAACAGUUUGUGCGGCCGGCUGCUGCUCGAGCUCGCUGGUGGGGAAAGACUUUGACCCGGACUUGGGAGAGAUGCACUAUUUGUUUUCUUUUCUUAAUUUUUCAACGAAAGACAACAAGACCCCUGUCUUCUUUCUCUUUCCUAUUUGUAGUCUGAACACAAGAAAACAAAUUAAAGCGCAGUGUUUGGCAUAAAUUUUGUACGCGCAUCAGACUUCAGCAAUACCUGUCAAAGCUCGCUGGCACCAACCGCCUCCCUCGCCUCUGUCGUCACAAUUUUUUGUCAAAGCUUGCUGGCACCAACGAGCCCCGGACCAGCACUGGUGUCUGAUUGCCUCCAGGCAGUUAAAUACAUUCAGAGUCCAUUCCUGGAGGCUCCAUGGAAGCUUCGUCCUUGGAUUUCUCAAUGCCAGCAACACGGUCUUGAUGUGGAUUUGCAGGUUACAAAAAUUUCGAGGGUUCAAAACCAGGCAGCCCAUCUUCUUGCUGUCAAAUAGCUAGGACUUCAUCUUCUUAUACACAGCUCAAUCCUGUUUGUACAAAACCAAGACAUGAUCCUGCUUGUGCUGUUCUCUCAGCACUUCUUUCUGUACAAUUGGGUCACCUAACCCUCACCCAUGUACACUGCUUUUAGCUCUUGAAUGAAGUUCUUUUUCAAAAAAAAAAAAAACGAGCCCUCUUUACCAGCCACAACUCCUCUACGGGCUCCACUAGCUCCUCGGCCACCACCAGAUCCAUCAACAGCAUCUGACGGCCAUAGUGGCUCGAAUUUAUCAUGCCAAGCAUAACUCGCCCAAUUCAUGCCAAAGAGGCUGGCUCACCAAGUGGAAACCUCAUUACUGGAAAAAAUAAAAGAAAUUGAGGUGCGACCGUGGGAGGGGUUUUCUGUCUUUUAGCAAGCUACCAUUUUCAUUAUCUCUUCUCACUACGGGAAACACUUAAUUUGCCAAGUGCCACAGGCACUCGGCGAAGACCCAAAAAUACUCGGUAAAGGCUUUGCCGAGUGUUACACUCGGCAUAUAGCACACGACAAAUAUUGCGUCGGCAAACACGACUUUGCCGAGUGUCAAAACUCGCGCACUCGGCAAACACUUUGCCGAAGGCCAAAAAAACACUCGGCGAAAAGACACACUCGGCGAAAUUGGCUUUGACGACGUCAGGCUAACGACAGCUUUGCCAAAUGCCAUACGGCAGGCACUCGGCAAACAAGCCCUAUUUGUCGAGUGCCAACACAUGGCAAACAAGCCCUGUUUGUUGAGUGCCAACACACGGGAAAGACGGGAUGUUUGCCGAGUGCCAACACACGGCAAACAGGGCUUGUUUGCCGAGUGCCGGGGCCCUGACACUCGGCAAAGAACGGAAAAAAGGGGGGUNNNNNNNNNNNNNNNNNNNNNNNNNNNNNNNNNNNNNNNNNNNNNNNNNNNNNNNNNNNNNNNNNNNNNNNNNNNNNNNNNNNNNNNNNNNNNNNNNNNNCAAGGUUCCCAUUGUUGUUUUCAUCCUUAUUAGUUAGGAUUUGUUAGUGAGUGAUGGUGCGCAACGCAAGACGUAAAUCUUGGACCCUUAUCCCUCUGAACAUGUAACAGAGUCCGCCGACUGGGGACCUCUAUAGUUUAUUUUUUAUUCAUCUAUGCGGCAGAGACUAUGUCUUCUUACUCAUCUAAAUCUAAGUCCAUCGUAGAGCGGACGUGAGUGAUUUCGUAGUCUUCACAGUGAUAUUUCAAAACACCCGGUGUACAUAUGGCCAGUAUAAUCUGGAUCGCGACGAUCUACGAGCUGGUGUCCCUUGUCCCUGACCCCAGACAGUGAGUGAUAGCCUUCUCUCGGAAACGUUCAUAACCAGGAAUCAGUAGUUUGUAGUAAUGCUGCCCCUUGGCCUUAGGCAGAGGCCCAUCUUUUGCAAAAGGCGCCUGUUUGCCGAGUGUAACACUCGGCAAAGUGGUCUGUAUCCCCCUUUUUUCCCGUUUUGUCACGUAUAACGGACCCCUCUCAAUUCACAAUACACAUCAUCACAAGUAUUUGUAAUGAACAAUCACAUGCAUAAUUCACAACCACCAUUAGAAACAUUAUUCAUAAACAUCACAGGCAUAAUCCAACAUAAGCACGAAACAAUCCGUAAAUCCAAGUUUAAGUCACAAUUUAGUUUCAACAAAGUUCACAACCAAGUAUAGUUCCGUGGAGGUCAAGGAGACCACUGCGACAAAUCUUGAUCUUCAUUAUUCGAAGCCGCCGAUUGAUUCUGCACAUAGGAUAGGACAUUCUGAGCUAACAUCUAAAGUUGUCAAAAUUAAAGUAUUGAAUCUUAAGCACAAUGUGUCAAGUGACUCACAGGAGUAGUUGUGGGUGGCUGAGGCGGAGGGAACAGCAUCGGCGGUGGCGGAGGCAAAGACUGAUCCAUGCUCGAAGCAAAAUUCUGCAUGUACGGGAACAUCUGGUCCAUCCUCAUCCGAUUUUCUUCCUCUAUCCUCCACCGCAUGUCCUCCAUCUGCGCCGCCAUCUCCUCUUGUUUCUUCCUUGCUUCUUCCACCUGGGCCUACAAUAUUUCAUUGCAAUGUUAUAAUGCAAAGCUAAAGUAUAACAACAAACGAACGAUGAAUGGAAGAGAAAGAACCUGGAGAGCCUCCAUCUGGAACUGUGCAGUGGUGGGUCGUGGCCGUAUCGCCGAGCUCGAGUCCGUGCUCCUAGCUCGGAUCUGGGAGAGAGUGGGAGUAGAGGCCGUGUCGAUUACGCCGUCGCCAAUCCAAUAUCGGCCAUGCUUCUUGCCUCCUCCCACCCUCAUCACAAUUUCUCCAUCAAUGUCCUCGGAGCUCGGAUCGAAGUCUGGCCCGUGAACCUCCCUAGCCAUCGCUGUAUACUCGGUGACACGACUGUGUAUGCUAGGAUGGCUGUACGCCUCGGAUGGGUUGUCUGGGUUGAAAUCGAUAUCGGCCGUCGCCUUGCCCUUUUUGGAGAGGACCCAUGCCUUGAGCUGGGAGCAAGGUCGGCCAUCAUGUGAUGCCGAUCGCGGAAAAAAAAUACAAUAUGAUUAGGAAUUUAUAGAAUUGAACGUUACAAUAAAGAAUUGAAGUUGCGUACCCAUUUUUCUCUAUAUUCAUCAAGGCUUAGGCUGCCUUAAUGGUGUGGUGCAGUCGGCAUCUGCAAACGCCGCUGUCGGCAAGCAAGGUGGUUCUCCAACCACCCGGGCUCCAACCACACGUCGACCAUCUUCUCCCAGCGCUGGAUAUGCGCACGACACCACCACGGAGGCACCUACAUCAUCAAACGUGUGACAUAUGAAAAAAGAAAUUGAGCCUAAUUAAUCUUAAAUAGUAAGUAUCAACGUUCUUUACUUACCCUCAUGAAUUGGUCCUUGGUUAGGUUCAUUGUCCUUGCCUCCUCUUUUCUAACCUUCAUCCGUCUGCAUUAAGCCGGGGGCUGGCCGGGGGCCGACCGGGGGCGGCCGGAGGCCGGCCGGUCGGGGGUCGGGGCCGGCUAGGGGCGGCGCGGGGCAGCCGGGGGCGGCGCGUCGGGCGGCCGGGGGGCCAGCGCGGGGGGCGGCGGGCUUGCGGCGGGUGGCACGGGGCGGGCGGCACGGGUCUGGCGAGCGGCACGGGGCGGGCGGCGCGUGCGGUGCGUGUGCGUGGGCCUGUGCAUGUGCGGGUGUGUGCGCGUGCGUGACUUAGGGCUGGCUUAAUGUCCAGUCUUUGUCUAGUGCCCCUGAUCUAGCACUCGGCAAAGGCAUUUUUUAAUAUUUUCGAAGUUUUCAGCCUUUGCCGAGUGCUAGAUCAGGGGCACUCGGCAAAGGAUUUUUUUCCCUGAAUUUUGGACUAACACUGACAUGUGGACCCGCGGCGAGCUUUGACGAGUGUCCGAGGGAUGACACUAGGCAAACAUAUUCUUUGCCGAGUGCCUUAUUGCGACCCUCGGCAAAUCAAUACUUAUAUUGCAUGUGCAAAGUAGUUUUAGUAAUUAAAAGUAUGUAAACUUUGCAAAAACCUAGUCAAAUUCACUAAACAUUGCGUAUUUUAUUUUUUUAAGUAAUAUUAUUCCAUGAUUUCAUGGAUUUAUAGCUCAUAUUGAAUUUAUAUCUAUUAAAUUCAUAUACUUGCAAUUAAUAAAUAAAAAUUAUCAAACAGAUCUGAAAAAUUCCUAAAAUUUGACAUGAACCAAUCUAUGUUCUCUAUGGCUUAUAAAAAUAAAUUUGAACUCAAUGAAAAAUUCAAGUAUCGAUUCGACUCAAAAUCUUACCAGAUCCUUCCAACUUCUACGAAUCCUCUCCGAAGAUGCUUCGAAUUCUAAGCAUCAUAUGUCAAAAAUUUUACGAAACCUUCUCAAUUUUUUACCACAGCCUCUGCAUAUGAAAUCAUAGCAUAUUGGAAAAUCUUGUGAUUUUCAAACUUCGUUUGUAUUUUUGAGAAUUAAAAAAUCAUUCGGCCACACGUUCGUAGUCGUGUUUCCUUAACAAAAUGUUCGAAAUUUCUUUUCAUUUUCCGGAUGAGACCUCAAUUUGGACUCACUAACAUGAAUACGAUUUUUCCACUCAUAUUAUUCCAUUAUUCCAAUCACCUGCAGUUCAAAUUUGACUUAAAUUAAUAAAUUUUAAAUAAAAUUAAUUCAUUAAAUAUAGCAAACAGGUCAAUAAAUAGUCCACCUUCUACCAUGCAGUGCCAAAUAUCAUACAUGGAGAGUAUAAAAAGUUUGGAGGGUGGAGGAGGGAAAAAAUGUUUUAGUUUUGCCGAGUGUGUCAAAAAACACUCGGCAAACCUUCAUGUUUGCCGAGUGUCCCAUCAAAACACUCAGCAAACAUGAAGGUUUGCCGAGUGUCGCACCUAACACUCGGCAAACCCUGAGCUUUGCCGAGUGUCCCCCGUCGACACUCGGCAAACAGCUAACGCCCGUCACACCCCCUACUGAACGCCGCACGUGCUGGUCACGUGCUUAAGGGUUUGCCGAGUGUAUUUUAUUUGCCGAGUGUCCCCCGUGAGUUUGCCAAGUAUUUUUUUUGGCAAUCGACAAAUCAUAUUUUCGCCGAGUGUAAUAUGUUUGCCGAGUGUUGUCAGGGAUACACUCGGCAAACGCGACCUUCGCUGAGUGCCCGCAAUAAUGCACUCGACGAACAAAUUACACUCGACAACUUUAGUGUUUCCCGUAGUGUCUACAUUUAUUUUAAUUGGGCAACGUAAAACAAUGCCUCACGUCGGUAGGGAAUGGCCAAGGUUUGGUUUCUUUCUUCUGUGGGUCUACCAGUCUAGUCUUGCUUGUCUUUUUGUUACGUACAUAAUUAUAAUAUUUUAUUUGGUAGCCAUUAUUGGAGUUUGGCCUAGUCACGAGAUGGCAUAGUCCAAAUAAUCAGACAGAACUUUGUCGACCGCAGAACUCUGUAAGCAGAGCCACUUUAGUUUCUAAUUCCCUAGUUUUCCUUUCCUCUCAGAGAUAUUUUUCAACGAGUCCUCCCUCAGAUUUGCAUCUGUGGUGUCAAUCCAAGGCUACAUAUAUAAUAAGGAACGAAGAAUAGAUUAAAGGGGUGUUUGGGAACACCGUGCUAAACUUUAGCACCCGUCACAUCGGAUGUUUGGAUACUAAUUAGGAGUAUUAAACAUAGUUUAAUUACAAAACUAAUUGCACAGAUGCAGUCUAAUUCGCGAGACGAAUCUAUUAAGUCUAAUUAGUCCAUGAUUUGACAAUGUGGUGCUACAGUAACCAUUUGCUAAUGAUGGAUUAAUUAGCCUUAAUAGAUUUGUCUCGCGAAUUAGACUCCAUCUGUGCAAUUAGUUUUGUAAUUAGCUCAUGUUUAGUCUUUCUAAUUAGCAUCCGAAUAUCUGAUAUGACCCUACUAAAGUUUAGCACCUCAUAUCCAAACACCCCCUUAAUAAUAAAAAAAGGAAUGGAAUAAAGUGGCAAGGAGCAUUAAGGAACGGCUGGUUCACUGCAUUAUUGAGUUGCAUCUCACUGCAGCCCUCCUCACACUGGUACGGUGAGCUCCGGCUGCAGCUGCAAGACGACUAGCAGGUGCGUACUUGCUUCUCUGAAUUCCCGCUUUGAAAGACAAGGCUCAACUCUGAAUUCCUUUCUCUGGGUAUAUAUAUGAUCCUCCACAACUGCUUCAGUUUAUUUCUUUUUUGUGAACGUCCUGUAAGGCUGUGAGAUCUAUCAAAUCGGUUUGGCAACUUUCAUCGCAGAGAGAUCUGCUUCUACUGCCAUGGCAUCCCCAACAUCCAGUAUGGUUUCAUCACAAAACUCUACUACUUUUGCAUCUAUUGGUAACUGGUUUCGUGUUUCUUUCUAAUUUCGUUCUUUUUGUUUUCAAAAGAUUGAUUUGAUAGGAUGUGGUAGGAAACGAAGAGAAGGUUUUCUUGGUAGUACCUGUACAAGGCUGCUAGUCUUGAUGUAGAAGAAUAACGCCAUGAAGAGUUGGACAGAUGACCAUCCAAGGAAGCUACAAUACUCAUUAGUUAAAGAGAUUACAAAUAAUUUUACAGAUGAACUUGGACGCGGUGCAUUUGGACGUGUGUUUAAGGUACCCCUAUUAAAUUAAAAAUCUCCUUUGUAAUGUUUGUUGUAAAACAUAUGAUGUUUUGUAAAUUUAUUUACAUUCAUAAUCUGUGACCUCCUUCUAUCUCUUACAGUGAUUGUGGGUAAACCUUUACACUAAAUAUCUUUUCUUGCCAACCUAACGUUUGAACCAGGGUCAUGGGAUAAUUAUGUUAAAAGUGUAGUUUAUAAUCCAAAGCUCUAUUUGUUGCAUAGGUGUCCUUUGAGCCAUGGGAUUUAAUUUGAAAGAAUGUCUCCAGAAAAACAUAUGUGGAAAAUAUAUCAAAGAUGUUUUCUGUUUCUAGACCUUAUCAUUAGCAGUUUUAAAUAAAAGAACAAUUUGCGUUGAGCUCAUAUCACAGAAAGUAUUACAAAAUAUAUCGCAAAUGGUUUUAUGUCUAAACCUUGCCACAGAUACUAGUUUUGAAAGCAAAACAGUCAUUGGUGGCCUUGAGACUAUCUGUAGUAGUGAAUGUUGGAUGAUAUUGUUGUUUAUUGUCUUAACAUCGGUUAUAUGAGGAUGUGUACAAAAGGAACAGAGCUAAUCAUAUUCAUUUUCAUUUUUAAUUCUCUGUUACUAUAUAUCAGCAUAGAAAAAACAAAAUUAUUACGUGUAAUUAAAGAAGGUGUUUAAUAGGGGCUGCUUGAUGAUGGAGAAGAGGUUGCUGUGAAGGUGCUUCGUUAUUUCACGCCUGAGAUCAGUGACCAGCAGUUCCAAAAUGAAUUUGGAAACCUUAAGAAGCUCAAGCAUCCUAAUAUUGUACGAUUGUUGGGGUUCUGCGAUGAAACUGAGGAAGAAAUUAUUGAGCACAAAGGAAAAUUAGUAGUUUGUUAUAGGAUACACAGGGCACUGUGUCUUGAGUAUGUGCCCAAUGGAAACCUUCGCAAGUUUCUUUCAGGUAAGGUGCUCAUGUGUUAUUGGGUAAUAUUAUUUCGGACAUGUGAAUAAAAAUAUUCUUUGCAUUAUGUAUAUUGAGAAUAUUAUGUUUGUUCUUGUAGGUGGAUGUCUUAGCAAGAAUUGGCCCAUACGCUACAAAAUAAUUAAGGGAAUCUGCGAGGGUCUACAGUACCUUCACAAGAUUCCCAUUUUCCAUUUUGACUUAAAACCUGAUAAUAUACUGCUAGAUGAGAAGAUGUUGCCAAAAAUCACCGAUUUUGGUUUAUCUAGGCUCAUUGGUGAAGGGAACACCAAAAAGACAAUGACGCCUCUAGGGACAGUGUAAGAUUAUUGUCUCAUGUGAACUUUUGGUCUGCUAAAUUGUAGUUAUUCCUUAGUCUCACUUUGCUAUGUCAUUUAUGUUCUGCUGCAGUGGAUACUUGCCUCCAGAGUUCAUUGACAAUCAAAUAAUCUCCAGGGAAUAUGACAUAUAUAGUUUAGGUGUUAUAAUUAUGCAGAUAAUCACUGGUGUUACAAGCUUCUCUGAUUUUGCUGACAUGGAGCCCCAAGAAUUUAUUGAACAUGUAAGAAUAAUUUAAUUAAUCUUAAUUUAUAAGCCUCUUAGAUACUAGCUAGAACAUGUAAGAAUAAUUUAAAUAAUCUUGAGCGGGUUACGUAUAAUGGAUCGAUUGAUUGUUAUUGCAUUGAGCCUCUUGGCUGGUACAUAUUAAGUACAAGAUUUGGAGGGCAAGACUCCUCUGGAUACAUGUGGCAGUCUACGACACGUAUAUCUACAACUACCAAAUAUACUCGUUUUGGAGAUUCUUAUUGUAUAUAAAGUUGGCAGCACGCCAUGUUGAUAGUCCUGUUGGAACAAUAUCCAUGAAUUUAUCACCAUUUAAUAGCAGAUGCAUGCAAGUAGAGUGUCACUCCAUCAGCUUUCAACCACUUUAGAUUCAAGGGAGAUCUUUCUGUAAAUCACACUGUGGACUCUACAUGUUGUGGUUAUUAUUUCACUCAUCACAUUUGGUCAGAACUCUAAAGUUCAUUAUAGUGCAACGAGCCUAAACGUGACAGUUCAUAUCGAUUUACUGUUACAAUCAAUUCCGAUAUUCAAAACAAAACAACAUGUAUUUGCAAUAGGGCGGAGUACUAAAUUCCAUAAUAUUAACCGCCCUUGUACUUGUUUUACUCCGUGUUUUAACUUCAAAGGUACAUGACAACUGGAAAAGAAGUCUAGAAGAGAUCCCAGAGUAUGCGUCACUUGAAGCGGAUUGCAAACAAGUGAAAAGAUGUAUGGAAAUUGCAAUAAACUGCAGGAAGAAGAAGCGUCAUGAAAGGCCUACAAUAGAGGAUAUUGUCAGCAAAUUAGAUGAGAUGGAAAGCAAAUUAGAUGAGAUGGAAACUGUUAAAAUUGACACGCAGUUGUCAAUUAAAAAGGUACAACCUAUCAUUCAUCUUAUGUAUGUAAAAAAUAUAGAACCCAUAGUUUAUUUGUCCCUAAAUAUUACCAGUGGUCGAAAAUACUUGGCUCUUUAUACGUCCACGUGGCAACUUUCACUAUGUUUGUUUUUAAAUAUUUAAGUUGGAAACAGGGAAAAUAAAUUGCUUGAUUUGUGUCGGAAAGAUGCAUAUAUCGGAUAUAAAAGUGAGCAAAAUACUCAUAUGACUCUCAGUAUAUUAAUGUCUCUCUUUCUUGCCACUGUUAAUUUUAUGUAUGCUGUAAUUCUAACUAGAGGUGUGCGCGCGCGUUAGGACUGCAGUUUAAUUUCCCAACCAAACAGCACCUUAGUUCUCUGAUAUAAAAUAAGUCUACAACAGAUCCCAGAGUAUGCCAUCAUGUGAAUUCAUACCGACACAAGUCGAUGAGAUAAACGAGAGGCCGACGUCUCUCGAAUUAGCCACCGUCUCCUAGGAGAAGGAAUGAACCAUGACGAAACAUGAUUAGUCUGUGCAAAAUCACUAACAAUGUGCCAAAACUAAAUUAAUUAGCUUUAGGAUCCGUGCUAUUUUUUCAAAGGAGCACCGGAGCAAAAUCCACAAUGUAAUUUUUACUUCAUUUCGUAGGAUGAGCAAACACCAUUUUCCUAAGAUUUCCCAUUUGUUUUUAUUGACAGGGUUACUUUGAAGAAUCUAGUGGCAUCCUGGGCAGGCCAUGUCAAUGUUAGUAAUGUUACAUUUAAAAUAGAUCCCUUCAUUUACUAAAUAUUUUAUUUAUUUUUAUUGAAGUUUGAUAUUGAUAUAAUGUAGCAUGCUGUGUGUUGGUGUAAUUGUGUUGUUCAGUACAAUCGGCUGGAGCGGUACUCCUUGCUGUCACGAAGAUUGGUUCCAUUUUAGGAGAUGAAACCUCCAAGGCUGUUAUAUAUAAGCUGUCUGGAAAAGUUCAUUCUCUGAAGGAGCUGCCAUGGAAAGUCGAUCAAAUAAGGAAGAAACUGACAUUCAUGAGCCAAAUUAUACAGCAGAUUGGAACAGUUUACCUCACAGAUGAGCUUGUCAAUAAUUGGAUCGGGGAGGUCCGGAAGGUGGCUUACCGUGUUGAAGAUGUAGUAGACAAAUACUCAUACCAUGUUUUUCAACUGAUGCAAGAAGGGUUCCUGAAGAAGUUCUUCAUCAAGGGAACCCAUUAUUCCAUUGUUUUCAGCGCAAUUACAGAUGAGAUAGCUGAUAUAGAAGAGGAGAUUAACCAAGUUAUUCAUAUGAAGGAUAAUUGGUUACACGAAACACAGCUUGUCUCUAACCAACAACAACUUGCUGAGAUUGAAAGACAUCGCUCGGAAGAACAAAUGGCAAAAGCUGUACUCCUUGUUGUUAUUCACGAUGAUCUUGUGGGAAUUGAAGAAAACAGGAGACUGCUGACUGGAUGGUUGAACUCAGACGAGCAAAUUACCAGAUUAAUAACAGUAUCUGGUAUGGGUGGAUUGGGGAAAACCACCCUUGUCACAAAUGUGUACGAGCGGGAGAAGAACAAUUUCACCACUCAUGCUUGGAUCGUUGUAUCUCAGAAUUAUGAUGUGGUUAAAUUGCUGAGGAAACUGCUGAGGAAGAUUGGGGAGCCAGAACAGUCACAGCUAGUGGAUUUGGAUGCCCGUGACUUGAAAGCAAAAGUAAAGGAAAGACUAGCUGGUAGGAAGUGCUUGAUUGUACUGGAUGAUGUAUGGAAUCAAGAAGCAUACACUCAGAUAAGGGAUGCAUUCCAGAACCUCCAAGCAAGUUGUGUUAUCAUCACGACGCGACAGGAACAGGUCGCAGUCCUUGCUCACCCCACUCGUCAACUCAAACUCAAGCCAUUGGAUCACGGUGAUGCACACGUGCUGUUUUGCAGAAAGGCUUUCUAUAACACCAUAAAUUGCAGCUGCCCCGAUGAACUUGAGAAGCUGGCCAACAAUAUAGUGGAUAGGUGUCAAGGACUUCCACUUGCAAUCGUAACCAUGGGUGGCCUGCUGUCUGCACUGCCACCAAUUAAACAAGUUUGGAACGAAACAUACAAGCAAUUUCAGGAUGAGCUGACGAACAAUGAUCAUGUUCGUGCAAUUCUAAAUCUGAGCUACCACGACUUACCUGGAAAUCUUAGAAACUGCUUCCUUUAUUGUAGCUUGUACCCUGAGGAUCACCUAAUGUCACGAGAGAGCCUUGUUUGGCUAUGGGUUGCAGAAGGUUUUGCGCUUCAAAAUGAACAAAGCACACCAGAGGAGGUGGCCGACAGAUACCUACGGGAACUGAUCCAAAGGAAUAUGCUGGAAGCUGUUGAGAACGAUGAGCUAGGAAGGGUCCGCACCUGUAAGAUGCAUGACCUUGUACGUGACCUGGCACUUUCUGUUGCUAAAGAGGAGAAGUUUGGUUUUGCGUAUGAUUUUGGCACAUUGGUGAAGAUGGACAAGGGUGUUCGUCGCCUGUCUUCCUGUGGAUGGCAGGACAAAACUUCACUGAAAGUUAAAAUUCAACUGCCACGCCUUCGAACCGCAGUUGCACUCGGAAUAAUUGGAUCCUCCCCUCAGUUGUUAUCUUCAGUUCUUUCUGAAUCCACGUACCUGACAGUUCUCGAGUUGCAAGAUUCUGAAAUAAGUGAAGUGCCAGCAUCCAUAGGAAAUAUGUUUAAUCUACGCUACAUUGGUCUGCGUCGCACAAGAGUUAAAUCACUCCCAGAAUCGAUUGGAAAGCUCUCCAACCUCCAAACACUGGACAUAAAGGCAACAAAAAUAGAGAAGCUACCAAGAGGUGUUGUUAAAAUCAAGAAGUUACGGCACCUUCUGGCAGACAGAUUUGCAGAUGAGAAGCAGUCAGAGUUCCGAUACUUCAUUGGAGUGCAAGCACCAAAAGAGCUAUCCAACUUGGAAGAACUUCAGACUCUAGAAACUUUGGAAGCCAACAAGGACCUGGCUGAGCAGCUGAUAAAACUUACGAAACUAAGGAGUGUGUGGAUUGACAACAUAAGUGCAGCGGAUUGCGCAAACCUUUUCUCUAUACUGUCAAAGAUGCCUCUUCUUUCCAGCUUGCUUCUCUCUACAAGUGAUGAGAACGAGACACUUCAUUUGGAAAAUCUGAAGCCAGCAUCUGAAAACUUCCACAGAUUGAUAAUCAGAGGGUGCUGGGCAGAUAAGACACUUGAGUGCCCUGUAUUCCGUGACAGUGGCAGAAAUCUCAAAUAUCUAGCUAUUAGCUGGUGCCACCUUCAGGAAGAUCCACUGCAGCUGCUUGCACCUUACGUGCCGAAUCUCACCUAUCUUAGUCUUAACAGGGUGAGUACUGCAGACACCUUAGUUCUUUCUAAAGGGUGCUUCCCACAGCUGAAGACGCUUGUCUUGAAGCGCAUGCCCAAUGUUGACAAGGUGGAGAUCAGAGUCGGUGCCCUUCAACAGAUCGAGGGUUUAUAUGUUUUGUCACUUCUAAAGCUCGACAAGGUCCCCCAAGGUAUUGAAUCCCUUCGUUCUCUUAAGAAACUGUGGCUGCUGAGUUUGCACAAGGACUUCAGAGGUCAUUGGGAUAGCAAAAAGAUGCAGCAGAAGAUGCAGUAUGUUCAAGAGCUCCGCAUCUGAAGUGGCACACGUGUACCACAGGAGUAGAAAUGCACUUCACAUCUGCUCGCAGCAACGUCAGGCGUUUAAUCCUUUCCAAAUAACUAAAUAAGUCAUCAGAUCUUUGACAUUGUUGAUGCAACUACAAUUGCAGUUAUGCCAUGCUUUAGCAUUUUCCUUUUUAAUGGACCCUGACUUUAUCUGCGAUCAGGGCGUGCCCAGCCUCAUCGCAGCUGUGGUAUAUUUUUCCCCAUUGAUUCAGAUUUUGAUUCCCAUCCGAGGACUUGGACCUUCGACCCUCGACUUCUCGAGAGGCCUCGCUGUGGCAGCUGCCGCCGGCACCGCGCCGAAGAAGCAGGAAGCCAUUCCGCCACGAACUACGAGAAAGGGAGAAGGCCUGCCUGCAGACGGCGCUAGUCUUGGAGGCCCAGUUCAGCUGGGCAAAGGCCACGGAUUGCCCACCCCAUGCAUCCUUUCAGAAAACGCGGACCCGGUCUGCGCCACUGAAUUGUUAGCCCGUUGGGCUGGCAGCUUGGGAUCAAAGCAGCCAGUGAGUGAGCGCGGAAUUCCUAUCCACAGACUAAGAUUUGUUUAAGAUUUGUUCGGAGUACAAUCAACUAAUGAGAUUAAGGGGUUGUUUGGAUACCCCGUGUUAAGUUUAGCACAUGUCACAUCGGAUGUUUGGAUAUUAAUUAGAAGUAUUAAAUAUAGACUAAUUAUAAAACUAAUUGCACAGAUGGAGUCUAAUUCGCGAGACAAAUCUGUUAAGCCUAAUUAGUCCAUGAUUUGAUAAUGUGGUGCUACAGUAACUAUUUGCUAAUGAUGGAUUAAUUAGGCUUAAUAGAUUUGUCUCACGAAUUAGCAUAGGGUUCUGCAAUUAGUUUUAUAAUUAGCUCAUGUUUAGUCCUAAUUAGCAUCCGAACAUCCGAUGUGACACUGCUAAAGUUUAGCACCUUGUAUCUGUCGGUGUUUUAGACUGGCAACCCACCUAGGGGGUACCCUAGGUGGUCUUUUGUGCGGUAAGGGUCGUCGAGAAUCAAGGAAUUAAUGGUGACACAAGGAACACGAUUUAGACAGGUUCGGGCCGCUAGAUCGCGUAAUACCCUACGUCCUGUGUGUUGGUUUGUAUUGAUGAACUGGAGUUGUUGUUGAGGGGAGUCCCUGCCCACCCUUAUAUACACGGGAGGGCAGGGUUACAAGUCUGAGUCCUAGUUGAGUACUAUUACAGAGUUUUACUCGGUAAGGCCCGUGUAGUUUUCCAUAUACAUACUUGACUAGUUUGAAUGGGAUACGCCUAUCCCUUGUCCUGAUCAUGUCCGAGUACGCCCCUGAGUGGGCCGUCCAAGGUCUACUCGUGGGCCUGGGGUGCAUGCCCGACAAGCCCCCUAGUACUUUGUAGUCGUGCGCCACAGUCUUAGGCACUGCGGGCACUAUCCGAGUAGCUGGUCGUAGAGGUUGCAGACUGAAGUACUCGAGUACUGUCGCGUGGCUGGAAUGUACUCUUUUUGUUCUUUCAAGUUGUCUCUGUUCCGAGAAAUUUUAUAUGGUAGUGCGAUGUCAAUCCCACUUCAUAUGGAGUAGCCCCCGAGCCUUAGGUUGAGUCGAAGAGUCAGGCUUAGGGUCAAACCAGCUUUUUUGUCUGUUUUACCCUUGGAAGUCUUUGAAAAAUAGAAAACUGACCAACGGGUACGGUACCCGCAGCCCCCGAGCACUUAGGCGAUCUCUGUCGUUGAAGUGGUCAGCAGUCCGUUGAAAAGAGUAGCCGUUGAGUGUUUAAGGUGAUUAAUCUGCCAUUAAUCUGUUAGAAUCCGUCCGUUGCGUAACCGACGCGUGGAAACCGGAGCUGACGGAGAUAAAACUGGAAAGCCCCCUUUCGGUUGGUUUUACGCCGCACGGCAAUCUUCUUUGGAAGUUUAACUCGAUACACUAUGGGUCCACAAACUUCUACAAUCUCAUAGGGACCAAUAUAGCGCGGAGCCAACUUUCCUUUUACUCCAAAAUGUUGUACGCCUUUGGUCGGUGAAACCCGCAGGUAUACAAAAUCCCCAACCUCAAAUUGGAUAGGUCUUCUUCUUUGAUCGGAAUAGCUCUUUUGUCGAGAUUGGGCGGCCUUGAGAUUUUCGCGGAUAACUCUCACUUUUUCUUCGGCCUCCAUGACCAGGUCAGGUCCAUACACUGUUCGCUCUCCAGGUUGCGACCAGCUUAGCGGGGUUUGACAUCUACGUCCAUACAAAGCUUCAAAAGGCGCCAUUUUCAGGCUAGCUUGGUAACUAUUGUUGUAUGAGAAUUCCGCUAAUGGCAAACACUUAUCCCAGUUCUUGUCAUAAUGAAUGGUACAGGCACGUAGCAUAUCUUCCAAAAUCUGGUUAACCCUUUCAGUUUGUCCAUCAGUUUUGAGGAUGAUAUGUGGAACUACGAAUCAAUUUAGUGCCAAGUGAAAACUGCAACUGCUCCAAAAAGCGUGGUACAAACUAACUACCUCGAUCAAAGAUGAUCGUUUUAGGUACACCAUGCAAGGAAAUAAUCCGGUCAAGGUACAGUUCUGCAUAUUUCUGUAUGGCGUGGGUGGUGUGUACUGGAAGGAAAUGCGCUGUUUUGGUUAGUCGGUCUACUAUAACCCAUAUGGAAUCAUGCUUGCGGGAGGUAUUAGGUAGUCUAACUAUAAAGUCUAUGCUUAUGUCCUCCCACUUCCACGAGGGAAUAGGCAGCGGCUGCAAGGGGCCAGCUACCCUCAAGUGGAUUGCUUUGACUCGCUGACAGGUAUCACACUCUAAAACAUAUCGUGCAAUGUCGGGUUUCAUCCCACUCCACCAGAAAUUUUGUCGGAGGUCGUGGUAAAUCUUGGUACUACUAGGGUGGAUCGAGAACUUGGAAAGGUGUGCUUCGUCCAGAAUUUUUUUGUUAAGAUCGGGAUCAUUUGGAACUACAAGUCGAGCUUCAUAAUGUACCACUCCUUUCCAAUCCUGUCGGAAAUGCUUAUAUCCCUCAUCCUCCUGUGCGAGUUUCUCUUUGAUAAGGUUUAUCUCUUCAUCCUCUAGUUGUGCUAGAAUUAUUUGGUCAAGCAGGGUAGGCUCCAGAGAAAUAUGACUUAAGGUACCGUGGGGAACAAUUUCCAAGUUGAGUUUAGCCAUUUCAUGACAUAGGGUCUCGGCAUAAUUAAUCGCCGAUAAGCAGUUACAAUGGACCUUGCGGCUGAGAGCAUCUGCAACUACGUUGGCCUUGCCUGGGUGAUAAUGCACUUCUAGGUCAUAAUCUUUGAUUAAUUCUAACCAUCUUCUCUGAUGCAUGUUGAGGUCUGCUUGAGUGAAGAUAUACUUAAGGCUCUUGUGAUCUGUAUAGAUGUUGCAUCGAGUUCCCAUAAGAUAAUGCCUCCAGAUUUUCAGAGCAUGAACAACUGCUGCUAACUCGAGAUCAUGGGUAGGGUAAUUCAACUCAUGUGGCCGUAGCGCUCGCGAGGCAUAGGCAAUGACUCGGCUAUCUUGCAUAAGAACACAACCAAGUCCAGUGCCAGAGGCAUCGCAAUAUACGCCAAAUGGUCUAGUGGUGUUGGGCUGAGCUAAAACCGGCGCAGAGGCUAGCAAUUGUCUCAGGGUGUGGAAGGCUUCUUCACAUUUGUCGCUCCACACAAACUUAAUUCCCUUCUUCAGCAGUUCCGUCAUUGACUUAGCUAUUUUUGAGAAGUCAGGAAUGAAGAGACGGUAGUAACCUGCUAAACCGAGAAAACUUUGAAUCUGAUGAACUGAAGUGGGCGGCUUCCAGUCCAUUACUUCUUCCACUUUGCUUGGGUCUACUGCUAUACCGUCUCUAGAUAUGGUGUGCCCCAAGAAUUUAACACUGUCUAGCUAGAAGUCACACUUAGAGAAUUUGGCAUAGAUUUGGUGAUCUCUUAAGCAUUGGAGUACAGUAUGAAGGUGCUCUGCAUGCUCUUCCUCAUUCUUCGAGUACACCAAGAUAUCGUCAAUGAAUACCAUGACGAAUUUGUCGAGUUCGGGCAUAAACACCGAAUUCAUGAGGUACAUGAAAUAAGUCGGUGCAUUAGUAAGCCCAAAUGACAUGACUAAGUACUCAUAGAGUCCAUACCGUGUAGAGAAGGUAGUCUUUGGAAUGUCGCAAGGGCGGAUCUUGAUUUGAUGGUAGCCAGAACGGAGGUCAAUUUUGGAAAACACUCUAGCUCCAGCUAACUGAUCGAACAGAACAUCAAUGCGGGGUAGUGGGUACUUGUUCUUUAUCGUCACCGCAUUGAGAGGUCAGUAGUCCACACACAUACGCAGACUAUCGUCCUUCUUUUUCACAAACAAGCCGGGACAACCCCAAGGUGAUGUACUUGGACGAAUAAAACCCUUUUCCAACAAAUCAUGCAACUGAGUUUUCAUUUCUGCCAGCUCGGCUGGUGGCAUCCGGUACGGUCUCUUUGAAAUUGGGGCAGUACCUGGUUUCAAUUCAAUAGCAAACUCGAUAUCUCUAUCAGGCGGCAUACCCGGCAAAUCAUCUGGAAACACAUCGGGAUACUCGCACACCACUGGGAUGUCUUCCAAACGGGCUUCAGUCAUGGGAUAGGCACAAGAAGUUUGGCACUCUCGGUGGGGUAAGUGUAUAAUUGAGCUACCAUAAAUGGGUGAAUUUAUAUGGACGGCUCUGGCAGGGAUAUCUAGUGCCACUCGAUGCUGAGUCAUCCAAUCCAUACCCAAGAUAAUAUCUAUUCCUUCUAUCCCAAGGAUAAGGAGGUUUUCCUUAAAAAGGGUUCUCCCCAACUGGAUGGGCACCUUGCGGCUCACUUGGUGUGAAGUUACUUUCCCACCCGGGGUAGAGAUGAUAUAAGCACCUUUUGUGUGACAAAAAUCUAACCCACACUUAGCACUGGUUCUAGUCCCAAUGAAACUAUGAGAUGCUCCCGAAUCAAACAGAAUAAGGACGGGUUGGUUAUAGAUAGAAAAGGUACCCGUCAUCACUGGUGCGCCCUCUGGAAGUUCAGCAAGGGUGGUGAAGUUUAGCCGGCCUUGUCGAACCUGAACCCUCGGCUUCUUCCCCUUGUUGCCCAGUGCAUUGCUCUGAUCAGGUUGUUGAUUCUUGUUGCGGGGGCAGUCCUUGGCAAAGUGUCCUGGGUUCCCACAGGUGAAACAGCGGUUUCCAGUGACUGGGUACGACGGCAUAGGGAGAGCAGGUCGGGGCCCUUGCGGCUAGAAUCCAGGGAAACAAGGUGCUGCCUGCGGUGGAGGUCGAGCAACCCAUCUCCCAGGCUGUGCGGGCCUGCGAGACGCCUGUGGGGGAACCAUUCUGUAUUUCUGGGCAGGUGGGCUGGGUGCCGGCAUCGGAGCCUUCCGCUUCAGGUCGGCCUUGAGAGCCCUCAUGCAAUCUUCUCGGAAAUUGCCAGGUUCACCAGUUCAUUGUAGGAAUCCACCUUGAUGGGAUUCAGCCUUUCCUUGAGCUCCAAACUCAAGCCUCUGCGGAAGCGGUCCCUCUUCUUCUCAUCGGAGUCCGCAUGGUAGCCUGCAUAGCGACACAGGUCAUUGAAAGCCUGCGCAUAGUGCAGGACAUCGUGGCCUCCCUGGGUGAGAGCCAGGAACUCAUUGAGCUUGCGCUCCAGAAGACCCUCAGGGAUGUGAUGGCCCCUGAACGCCGUCUUGAAUUCCUCCCAGCUGACGACGUGGUCGGCCGGCUGCAUGGCGUGGUAGUGAGCAGAACCACGCAACUGCUGUGCGGCGAACUGAACCUUGUUCUCCUCCGGGCAAUGGGUGGUGAGGAGGGAGAACUUGGACUCGAUAGCACGAAUCCAGGUAUCGGCGUCAAGCGGGUCCUCCGUCUUGUGGAACAGAGGAGGCUGGGUCCCUAGAAAUUCUUCGUAACGAGCAACAUGAGGUUGCUGAUGGGCUCUUUCUCCCUGGGGCUGCUGCUGCUGCCCCUGAGCGAUGUGCCUCAGCAGCUCGGUUUGAGCCGCCAAGAUCACCUCGAGGGUGGUUGGAGGUGGAGGUGGGGGAGGCACCUCGCUGCCACUGGGAACAGAGCCAGAGCGUGUGCGAUGCGCCAUUUGCAAGAUUCACCUUUCCAUUAGUCACAUAACCCCAAAAACUUGUUUAACCAUAAGGAAACAUUAUGUGCGGAAAUGAUAUAAGCUAGUCUUGAGGAUGGUGCAAAAGCAACAAUCAAAACUUUUAUUGAGUAGGUGCAUAUCGCUUCUUCGAAGUGCACAAGGUUCUCUUCCUUAUGCGAGGGUUAGAAUAUGUCAUACACAACCACUUUGAUGUUACGCUUGUUGACCGAAAAGGAAGGGAAAGGGGUCGUUUAGACGUUCUAGCAAGUUGCUGUCCGGCUGAAUUUUCAGCAAGCUGAGCAGUGGGGUUUUGGCUCUAGCAGGCGUUUGACAGAUCCGAAGGAGCUGAAAAUUUACGAGUAGUUAGAACAGAAGUUUUUGCACAACUUUGGUAUUCAAACUUUGGCUCAAAAACGAGUGGAGACAGGGGUAAAACUGAGGAGAAACAGUCACUGCAGUUCUGCCAUAAAUUUCAGACAUUACACUAAAGAUAGCAACGGCAACCCUACAUAGAAUCAGUUUUUCAACACCCAAAUACUCAACUCAAGCUAACCUAUUAUAUCACUGGCCAAAAUAUAGGUCGCCGAGGAGCAAAAACAAAAGAGAACCGCUCAACAAUAAGUCAACACAACUAGAAAUCGUCGAGGUUGCCCACGGAGACAAAGCUGAGGAUAGGAGAGUGAGCAUCGCUAACUGGAGGCUGCGGAGAGGCCUCCUCAUAGUCCAUGCUCGAAAAGCCCUCGAUCUCCUCGGGCUCCUCCUCCUGGGCCAACGGCUCAUCCUGCUGCAUCUCUAAAGCGUGAAUGGCAUUAAGCUCAUUGCGAUGCUCCUGCAGGUGCUCAUUGGCGUUCGCCAGCUCCAUGUUCACAUCAUAGAACUGGUCAACCAAGAUCUCCAUAUCGUGCUCCAUAUCCACGAUCUCCUCCUCCAAACGAGUGAUCUUAUCCUACAUCUCAGAAAUCUGGACAUCCUUCUGUACUAGCUCAAGCGACUGGUCCACCAUGCCACUCUGCACGGCAGAUAAAGCGACCUGGUUGGCCACUGCCAUCCCGAUCACCGUAGCCAUCGCUCGGCUCUGCAUCUCGACCAUCCUGUAGAACACGUUCAGGUAACAAGCUGAAACAAAAAUCGUGCACUGUGGAUCCAUAACCCCGAGCAAGUCCAUAUGCUCCAUACGAUCCAACCUCGUAUCCCGGGCAGGGAACAACCCAAUCGGGUCCAGCACAAUCUCAAGAGGGUGUGCCCGACAGAACUGUGUCAGGAUCUGCAAGGCUGCGAACUCCCAGGUGUCCUGUAGCGUGUGUCCCUUGGCCACCACCUCCAAAAGCGGCCACUGUGGCUGAUCCGGAGGCGGGGGCACCCGCAUGUGCACGCGACUCCACGGAAUCCCGUGAUCCUGGUACGCACGUCCCGCGUAAACCGGCGGUGACGGGUACCCAAAAGAGCGCAGGGUGUCCCACAGUACGGAUGGGAAACCCUCGUAGUGAAGGCACCGUGAGUAGGUGGUGCCAUCCGUACCGACUGCAACGUGCACGGGCUGAGCCAUCUGUAACCAAAGGACAAGUGAGAAAUGGAGUUAACACUCGAAAAUCAAAACAGAUUUCUAGCAGUUAGAGAAAAGCUCAUAACUCAACAAGUAUUCAUCCAAAAUUUCUCAAAUUUUACCAGCACAUUCUUUAGAUUGUGUGUAACAGUUUUGGUAUUCAAAGCUAGGGCUAGAACUGGACCUAACAAGGUGAUAAUCUCAGAUUUCCAUUAAGUGUUCAUGCUGGAAUUUUGCAGACCUGAGCCAAAGUAAACUGAACAUAAAUUCAAUUACAGAGACCUAAUGAAUCUGAAAUUUUACCAGUAAGUCCUUUAAUAAUUUUUGAGAAACUUUGCUUAAGGGACUCCUAGCAGAAAAAGUCAUUAAGGUGGUCGAAACAGUAGAAUUUCAACUGGUGUGCACUCAGGGCUAACAGCCAACAGGGGGUCACAAAACUGAUCACAACUCUCAACCCAAGUGGUAGUACUUUGUGAAAAUUUUUCAGCAGUUUACUUGGGAGUUUUAACACAAAUUUCUUAUAUAAAGUUUCUGGAGUUAUCAUAUGGAACAACCCGAAAGAUUUAUUAAACGUGCGUGGUGGAAAAAGACAGCUAGACAAUCCUUAUCGCGGUGCAUCUCUUUUUUUUUUCUUUACGGCGCACUCAAGCUUGGUUUUAUUUCCUUAGGUUGCGAUUUUUAUUUCUUAAUGCAUGCACGUCCUAGUCGUCCUUUCAACCAAAAAUAAUCGCCAAAAAUCUUUGGACUUACGUGGUUAGUGCCGGUGGCAAGGCAACAAUACGACUCUCACUAUAAUAACUAGUCGAUUUACUAGGCAUCGUUUCGUACGCAACGUUGUUAGUGUACCUGCAGAAAAAUACAUCACAGCUUGAACCUUCCGUGCCAGCACUCACGAAAGCGUCCACAAUCAUUACCGUUCACUAUAGAAAUGGCACCCAUGCGUUUAACGCUGCAUGGACAGCGCAACAACCGUGGAAAUAUGUUCCUUUGAAUAGAACCAUAUAACCCUUCGCAUUCUCGUGAUGUGGAAUCAUGCACACGUAUAAUAAACGUGGGCGAACAACUGUGAUGGUAGGCUCAUUGGAAUCGAACCAUACCAUCCUUCGCAUGCAUUAGCAUACGGAACCUGCACACGUAUAAUAGACGUGGGCGAAACAACCGUGAUGAUAGGCUCGUUGGAAUCAAAUUCCUAUCACCCUUUGCAUGCAUUAGCAUAUAGAACUUGCGCACGUAUAAUAGACGUGGGCGAAACAAUCGUGAUGAUAGGCUCGUUGGAAUCGAAUUCCUAUCACUCUUCGCAUACUCGCGAUGGGGAUCUCGGCACACGUAUGAUAGACGUGGCAACAAGUGCUGGAAGUCAGAAGAUAACCAAUAAUUAUUAGCCACCUUAAAAGACCCAAAAUUCCCCUAGGGCUCCUCGUACUAAACUCAUCCUUAAUGAACUUACGAAUUUCUCGACUCAUUUCUUGCAAAUUUUAGUUAGAAGAAGUGUUUUAAGGUUUGUUGUUCUCCGUACCGUGCUUCGAGCUCUGAUGCCAGCUGUGGCGGAACCGCCCAAAUUAACCUGACUAAAAUGCAUUGAAGUCGCCUGACACGCGAUUAUGCACUUUAAGCAAGUCAACCUGGUCGACCGUCAGAUUUCAUCCGAUUAACCACAUAAACAGGAUCGAGAAGCAUCGCUCACACGAAGGUGAGUAGCACAGAGAUUACAACAUUCCAUCACAUUAACUUAGUCUCACAAUUUAUUACAUAAGGGUUUCUGAAAAUUUGAACAAGUUGCAAGGUUCGAAGAGUCGGAUAAAACAAGCAGAAGCUAAAUGUUGAUACAUGACAUCACGACGGAGCCGAUCAUGACAUCAAAAAUCCCUUCCCUCGCCGUCCGAGGAGGGAUCCCACUCGACUGUCCUACCCGGAGGGAACUGGGUAGGCCAAGUGGUGCCAGCAACCAAACUAUUGACAUCACCUGAAAAGACUAAGCCACAACAAGGCUGAGCAACUAAUACUCAGCAAGGCUGACCCGUCGAGUGAAAAGCUUUACCAAGAGCUUGACAUGCAAGGCUUUCUGGCUCUGGGAUUUCUUUGCCAAAAGCAUCUAAAGUCGGUCCUUACUUUCAAUAUUUUAGCUCAAGUUCUACAUUCUUUAUCCAGUCUAGAUUAGCAACUUAUACUAAACAAGUAUAAUUUCCCAGCAGUUAAAUAACAAGCAUCAAUUUAAUCUCGUAAUCAUAUUUCAUCGUUACUCAGUGCAGAAUAGCGAUCAAGUAGUCCCAACUUGUGAGAGGUAGACGAAUCGAUUCGAAUUUAUUAACUAUGCAUGGCGAACCUAAUCUCACGACAUCCGCGCACCACGAAGGGUCGCUUCAUUUGUUAGCCGUCCCCAUCGAUCCCUUAGGCACGUGUCAGGGCCAACUGCCUUUGGCAUGCAAUGCUCCAUAAUCCCAGCCUCUGCCGUACUAUGACCACACUUGCACCCACAUGAUGCACCAUGGGAACGACGUUCCAAGGACAGCCGGGGGAGUAUGCCACGCCCCAGUUCAAUCAGGUACUAGGCUUCCCCAUCAUAUACUAGGUAUGAGAUUAGUACUUUCAAGCACUUGAUCACGAACGCCGACACGUUUCGACCUUAGAUCAAUUUCAUUUAAACAGAUGGGGAAAACCACCAAGUAUCGAACAUCAGCCCGACCCCAUCCGUCGUCCUUAUAGUUGCAACAUAAAUAAAACAUUCAACUCCUAUAACUCGCGAGUGACAGGAAAUCACUCGACUUUUACCAAAGCCUAUUAAGCAUUGCAACUACUCGACUUUAGCAACUAGUAUUCAAACAAGACACUAAGUUCAUGCAUUUAAGGUUUCAUUACAACUCCUAGAAACGUAAAUGCGCAAUCAAAGUAUUCAAUAGUAUUGCAAGUAUUCAAGAUAGGAAUUUAUGCUCCGGGGCUUGCCUUCAGGAAAAGUUAGCGGGUCCUCGGGGUCUUGCUCUGGUUCGGGCUCGCCUUCCAAGGAAUGAAGCUCCGCAGCGGGGUCUUCGUUUGGUGCCGGGUGUAGCUCGUAGGUUCCGUCGGCGAGAUUUGCUUCUAUACGACAUGCACAUGCAAAAGUUUAGUUGGACUCGCGCGUUCAUUCAACGACACAAGGCAUGGCUUAAGACAAAGAGUUGCAACAGCCACAAACACUUUGACGAGGUUAAACUUUCAUGCAAUUUCAACGAAUGAGGUCGGUUUAAACUUGAGUUCGAGUUGGAUGGCGAUUGUGUACAUAUAUAGUUUUCUUGCACUUAGAGUUGCAUAAAGAGAGUGAAAGGUCAUGUUUGGGUGGUUUGGGUGCAUUAGAAUAGUGACUUACUUCUGAAUGUUUUUAUGUACCUCUUUCAAUUUCCACUUAUUUAUCGUAUUAGAAUUUGUGCUUUCCUUUUAUUCCUUUAGGUUGAUUAAUUAACCAAAAUGACUUCAUAUCCAAACAGUGGCUAAAGGCACCGAUAAAAUUACAACACCUUAUUAAGGCCAUCACUAGGUUACUGUAAAAGUUUGGGGGCCAAAGGAUGGCUUAAAAAGGAGUUACAUGCAUUUUAUUAUUAAAGGUAAAAUUAACUUAACUUUUUCUAUCUUCAAAGUUACUGUGCAACAGAGGGUGAAACUUAACCAGUGUGUUAAGGGUAUGUUACAGGAGCUUUGGUGAAUUUUUCACAAUUUUUGGAGAAGAUUAACUAUUUACUCUAUUUCCUUUUUAAAUUAAACAUGCUUAACAAGGAAGGUGUUUUUCUUUCUAAUUUGCACAACAAUUUAUAUUUUUUCUGCAAACUUCACAACAAAACAAAAUUAACCCAACUAGUUUCACAUUUUUCUGAGCUCUGAAACAAAACUUAUGCAAAAAGGAAGAUUUAUGUAUAGAUUAUCAAUUUUAAGUCAAAACAGUGACUUAAAGUGUUAGACCAGAGCCCUACCAUUUUUCUGAGCUUCUAUAUAUAGAAAUAAGCAUCACAGAGUUGGUCUCACAUUUUCCCCACUUUUCUUCUAUUUAUUAGGAUUUAAAAGGCCUAAAACAAGAUUAAAAGUGUAGCAUAUUAUUUACAACAGUAACAUGAGCAAACUUAUUUUUCUUAGGAACUAGACAGAGCAAGGAUUCCAACAAAAGUAGUUUGGCAUUUUUAUGCUUUUUCUACGAUUUACUGGGCAUUUCCAAAGUUCAACCAUUUUUCUGCCUAUUAUUAAAAGAAAAGCCGUGGCAAACUUGCAAGCUAGCCCCUGGGUUUAAGGUUUAACUACGCAGAGGUCCCUGAGUUUUGCGCGCAGGCCCCUGGAAAGAAUGGGGACGAUGCAAUGUAGUCCCCGGGAGGCGCGCGGCGGCGGCGGAGAAAUUCCCGGCGGUUCGCCGGCGAGGAUCGGGCAACAAGUGGCCGGAGGGGUGCGGGGGCUCACCUAAGCUCGGUUUGGCGGGGUUGGGGCGAUGGAGAUGGCCGGCGGGGAUCAAAACGUGGCGGCGGCGGCAGAGCUUGGCUGGCGGCGGUACAGGCGGCGUUCUGGCGCACCGGCGGCGUCGGGGAGGCCACGGGCUGCUUGGAGACGUGCGUGGAGGGGUGGCAAAGCGGGCGGCGAAGUCGCCGGAGUGUGGAGUGGCAUGGAGGGGUGAGCUCCACAGAAGCUUAGCGGUGGCACAGAGGAGGAAGCGAUGGCGCAAUUGUGGGCGGUGGCAAAAGGGUGGUGUUGCCGGCGAGGGGGACCUUUUUAUAGGGCAGCGGUGGAGCGGAGGGUCGAGGCGGGGUUUCGGUGGGGGAAGGAUAAGGUCAGGAGCGGCGAGUGCGUGGCCGAGGCAGCCAUUGGCUAGCGGUGCCAUUGGGCAGAGGAGGCGGAGCUCCGGGUGGUCUCCGGCGGUGAUUGGCCUUGGGCGGUGCGUGUCUGGGGCUUCCGGUCUGUCGGGCGGGCGAAGCGAGGGCUACCGUGGGGGUUGCGCGAGCGGGCGGAGGCGCAGGAUGUCAUCGGCAUGGUGGCUUCUCCGGCGGACGAGCGGAGCGUGGUUGGCGGAUCAGAGCCGCGGCAGGGGGAAAAGGACAAGCGCGCGGCCGGCGGUUGGCCAGCCCGGAGUUCGCCCCGUCCAAUCACAGGCGCGGGUUAGGCGCCGUGGCCCUUGCCCUGUUGCUGUCUCGCCGGGGAUAGGGCACCGACGAGCUGCCGGAGGCCGGCGGCCACGCGGUGCGCGGCGCGUGGGCGAACGUGCUCUGGCACGCGGGCGUCGAGGUCCCCUUCGGGCAGCAAGCCCGACCAGCUUUGGGAGAUCCUAUCUCAAGAUUUUGCAACACAACUUCCAAAACUCUUUUAAACAAACUUGUUCAACUCUGGACGUAUUUCAAACUUGGUAUAAGGCGCUGGUUUAUAUUGUGAAAGGAUUUGGAGAUAUCUCGUGCGAAAGUUUGCCAAAAAUCUGGAAAUCCAGACUUAGCCAAUUUUGGCCGGAGAGGUGGAAUUCAGAGGUUUAGCCAUCUUUGGCUCGAUUUUUGGAUAGCUUCUGAGUUGAAUUAGACUAAGGUGUUAUUUGAGGAGUUGCUCUCAAACCUGAGGACUUCAACUUCUAUUUAGGGUAUUUCUUGAGUUUAGUUCAAAAAUUUGGAGGAAUGCCCUCGCCAAGAGGUGCACUCUGAGCAGUUUUUCAGACUUAGCGUUGUGGGGCUCAGGGGCUGAGUUGACUGUUUUACCUUACUUUGACCAAGAAUUUGAAUAGGUUCUAGCCCGAUUUGGACCUGAGUCAUUGUAACAAAGUUGGAACACACUCGAGGGACUACAACUUUUAUUAAGAGCCUGACUUGAGUUUUAGAUAGGAAAUCGUGAGAUAAUAGCUUGCAAAGUUGGAGGAAAACUUGAAUUCCAGGACUUUGGAGGUUUAUAGGGUUCUUUAGUACUCCGCUUUUGAUUGCUGUUUUUGACUUCCUUCCAUUCCGAAUUAGUCAAAGUGCCUUUAACAAAAGUUAUUUGAAAUUAAAAGUUUUACAACUCUUAUUUGGGCAGCAUUUUAAGUUUGCAUAUAAAAUUCCAAGUUUUAUUUCAAACUCCAAAAAGAGCUUCUUAGGGUUAAAAUGGUCAUUUGACCUCUUUAAUUAGGUAUUAACCACUGGUUUUCUUUAAAAGCACUUAAUUUAGGUAGAGUUGUUACAGCCAACUACUCGACCGCCUGUUGUCGAGAAGAAGCGUGUGCGAUUGCCACCACGCUCGACUCGGUGAGCCUGCUUAGCCGGUGUAUAUCUUUAAGUUGUCUGGAAGUCGUAUAAUGAUGUUUCUUGAUGCAGGGAUGCAGAGGAGACUAUCCCUGUGGAGAUAGGGGUAGAGUUGGAUCCCCUGAAUACAUUAUCUGCUCCUUUGGAAUAUUUAAUUGUUGAGGAGGUACCCGAAGUUGACGCCGGUCGUCUUGGAGCUACUAUGUCGAUGCUUCCAGACGUCAUCCGUUCGGUGGAAGUUCCCGCUGCUGCAUCGGGUUCAGGAAGUGCUGCCUUAUCAACAUCUACUAGCGGAUCGCUGGUCGUAGUGGGUGUUGAAAAAGCCAAAUUGGCGACUGCUCCAGGUAUGUUUCUGUAGUCUUGUUAUUGUAGUCGUAGCAAGCAGUUGACUGAUGAUAAAUGUUGUAGGUGCCAUUUUUGGUACAACUCCUCAUCUUGCAGAGAGUACUCAAAGAUCGGUGAUCAGCCUGCCAUCCGACUUGGAGUUCCAGAAGGUCAUCAAUGUUUUCCGGAGCUUCCAAGUAGAAUUCCUUUUUGAGUUGUCACAUGGACCAAGUAGUUGUGAGGAUUUUAACUCACCAUAGUACCUUGCAUACUUGGACCUUUUCAGGAAUGAAGUCAUCAACUAGAGCAGGAGUGCGCCCGUCUGACAGAAACUCUGAGGGUUCACGAGGUUGGAGCGAAGUCUUUUGCUGUGGAGCGUACGGAUCACGCGGUCCUGCAGCAAAAACUGGAGAGCCGCUACAAGUCGCUGAACAAAAAGUAUCAAGGUAAGUACUUUGCAUACUCCGAGUAUGUCCGAUUGUAGUCAGCUAUGGUUGAAUACUUGCCCGGUGCUUGAGGUGAUUGUCUUGCGAAGAGUAAUUUUAUUCCGUGUUGGUUGACCCGAAGUCCCAGGGUCAGCUGAGCCCGACCCUUUGGGGAAAACUCCGCUUCACCCGACCCCUUGGAGGGGGCCAGCUACGCCUCGCCCAACCCCAAGUCCUGGGGUCGGCUAAGCCCGACCCUUUGGGGGAGAAGCUCCGCCUUGCCCGAACCUGAGUCCUGGGGUCAGGUGCGCCCGACCCCUAAGCAGAAGGUCGGAGUAGUCCAAACCCUCGAGAUAAUGGUGUGAGCGUAGGCCGCACUUGGCUUGUAGUAGUUCCGAGUGUCGAGUAGUCGCAAUGCUGUCGAGUACUCUUCUUUUGAGGGACACGGGUGUACUGUACUCCUUUGUCCUUUUGUGGAUGCACGGGUGUACUAUACUCUUUUGUCCUGUGUAUCAUAAGUGCCAUCACGUGGGCAGAGUCAGCAGUCAUCAGACUCAUUGAUCACGGGCGCAUAGUAACUCUUGGGCAGGUGGUAGUUGCAUCUUUCGGCUAUAAAUAGAGCCAUCUGGAGAGCGAACCAAACCAAGUUUCUGAGUAGCAAUGGAUUUCUUUCAGUUGCUUCUUUUUGAGUGUAGAGAGCCAUCAGAGAGUGCACCGGUGCUAGAAGAUUCCUCGUAGAUUGAGGCCGCCUUCCCUCCACAGACUCCUGCGCUCGUAGGGAUAGCCGCGAUGCUAGAAGAAUCCUCGUAGGAGGUUUCUUCGCACGCCUCAUCUUGCAGCUCAUGAUCCAGUGGGGUACGCGCUGGAACUCAUGGGUGAUGGGUGAUGAGUGCCGUGGUCUUUAUCCCGCUCUCUUAGAGGUGGAGAUGUGGCCAUAGAGUGGAUUGGCUCCGCAAGGCUAGCAAAAGAGCAGCCUUGGUUCCCUCUAGGCGCGUCACGCCGGAUUCAUCGUUGCCGCUGUCAAGGCAGUGGCGAUGCAGGAGUUCCUGGCAUUGCCUUGGGUAGAGUACCUGGAUAUGGCUGCAUUUUGCGCAGCUUCCUUGCGUGUGGGCCCUUCCCAUUGUAGUCGGCAGACCUGAGUGGCCUUGUGAUAUAGUAAAAGCCUGAGGCUUAAAUGCAGCCCGCCAGUAGGCAGGUGCUUGUAGUCUUCGUGUAUUCCGAGUGUUUGUACUCGUAUGUAUGUUUGAAGAUGUAUCUUCGGUUCUCAGUAAAGAAAUACUGAAUGGAAAUUUUGUACCAGGGCAAUGAUCCUUGUUGAGUUGAUAACUCUUGUCAAAGCUGAGGUAUCUUGAAGUCGGUAGUCGGGUGGUUAGCCCGAGUAGUCAUCAUGAGUUAUUGCCUUGAAGCGAUUACUCGGAUGCUGCUAUGGGUAAUAGCGACAAAGAUGUUCUAUAUUCCAAGAGUUUGGUACUUGGAGUCUGUAAGAUCCAGGUCCCGUAACCUUUGACACGAUGUAAGGACCUUCCCAUGGUGAAUUGAGUUUAUGCAACCCUAAUGUGUCUUGGAUACGCUUAAGGACCAUAUCGCCCAAGUUGAAAGAUCUUUCCUUCACGUUGCGGUCGUGGUAACGCCUUAAACCGUCAAGAUAUCUGGCAGAUUGCACUAGUGCUGCACAUCUUGUUUCUUCUAGACUGUCUAUAUCUGUUCGCCUUGUUUCUGCUGCCAGUUCUUCGUCAUAUUGUUCAACGGAUGGUGAUUGCCACAUGAUGUCGGCGGGUAGUAUGGCUUCUGAGCCAUAGACAAGGAAAUAGGGCGAUAGCCCAGUAGUCUUGCAUGGUUGGGUACGUAGGCCCCACAGAGCAUUGGGAACUCUUUGAGCCAUUUGCCGCCUUUGGUGUUGCCAACGUCAUGUAGUCUUUUCUCCAGGGCGUCGAGUAUCAUGCCAUUAGCAUGCUCGACUUAUCCAUUGGAUCGCGGAUGAGUGACCGAGACAUAGCGGACGUCGAUGCCGCUAUUCUCGCAGUAUUCCCAAAAGUCAUGAUUGUUGAAGUUCGACCCUAGGUCUGUGAUAAUCUUGUUGGGAAAAUCGUAGCGGUGUACGAUUUCAUCUAAGAAGUCGAGGACCCGGUCUGCCUUGGGGCAAGUGACUGGUUUGACCUCGAUCCACUUGGUGAAUUUGUCGAUUGCCACGAGUACUCGGUUGAAUCCUCCUAGCGCAGUUGGUAGCGGCCCUAUCAUGUCGAGCCCCCAGCAGGCAAACGGCCAUGUUGGAGGUAUUGUGACUAGCUUGUAGGUCGGUACAUGUUACUGUUUUGUGAAGAAUUAACAACCUUUGCAUUUUUGAACUAGUUGUUUAGCGUCGGCCAGAGCCAUUGGCCAGUAGAAGCCUGCUCUGAAAGCCUUGCCAACUGGUGUCCUUGAGGAGGGUGGUUGCCACAGAUUCCUCUGUGAAUUUCCUCUAGGAUUUCUUGGCCGUCUUCUCUGGUAAUGCACUUCAUGAGUACCCCAGACGAUGCACCUUUUUUGUAGAGCUUGUCUCCGACUAGAACGUAAUUUUUUACUCGCCGGGAGAUUUGCUCAGCCUUAUUUUUGUUGGAUGGUAACUGGUAAUCUUUGAUGUAGCCGAUGAAGGGUGUCCUCCAGUCGACUUCUAUCAUCAUGAUUUCACGAGACACGUCAGCAGUCGUGACUGCUGGUGUGGUGACUUGUUCAGGUAUGGACGGCUUGCGCAGUUCGUGUAUGAAGAUUCCUGCUGGAACUUCUGCACGAGUUGAGCCCAUUUUGGAUAAGACGUCGGCAGCAACAUUGUUGCCGCAGACGAUGUGAUGAAAUUCCAAGCCUGAGAACCUGUUUUCCAGUUUAUGGACUUCUUUGCAGUAAGCAUCCAUGUUGUCCUUGUUCCGGUCCCACUCAUCAUUGACCUGGUUUAUAACGACUAGAGAGUCGCCGUACACCAGUAGUCAUUUGAUGCCGAGGGAGAUUGCAAGGCGAAGGCCGUGGAGUAGUGCUUCAUACUCGGCUUCGUUAUUAGAUGCUUCCCAGAAUAUUUGCAGCAUGUACUUGAGCUGGUCUCCCCUGGGGGAGAUGAGUAAUACGCCUGCGCUGGCUCCUUCGAGUUUGAGGGAUCCGUCAAAGUACAUUACCCAAUGUUCUGGCCGUUCCACUGGUGUUGGCACUUGAUUUUCAGUCCAUUUAGCUAUAAAGUCGACCAAAGAUUGGGAUUUGAUAGCUGUCCUUGGCUUAAAGUUCAAGGUGAGAGCUUCGAGUUCAACUGCCCAUUUGGAGAUUUUGCCCGUAGCGUCUCUGUUGUGAAGAAUUCGCCGAGCGGGAAGUCAGAGAUGAUUGUGAUGUUGUGCUCUUUGAAGUAAUGGUGCAGUUUCCGGGAGGUGAGCAAAAUUGCGUAUAAGAGUUUUGUAUCGGUGAAUACCGAGUUUUGGAGUCCGAGAGUACUUCGCUGACGAAGUAGACAGGUCGUUGGACCUUGUAAGCGUGGCCUAGUUCAGACCGUUCGACUACUAUUGCCGUGCUGACGACAUGAGUAGUAGCUGAGAUGUAUAGGAGCAAGUCUUCGUUCGAAGAAGGAGCGGUGAGUACAGGAGGCUUUGACAGAAAGUCUUUGAGUUGUGUUAGUGCCUUAUCUGCCUCUUCCGUCCAUUUGAACUUGUCUUGGCGUUUGAGAACCUUGAAGAAGGGUAGUCCCCGUUCUCCAAGUCUCGAGAUGAACCGGUUGAGAGCGGCCAUGCAGCCUGUGAGUUUCUGCACAUCCUUAAUGCUAGCUGGUGCUUGCAUGUUUGUGAUGGCAGAAAUUUUUUCCGGGUUGGCCUCAAUGCCGCGAUGGCUAAUGAUGAACCCGAGUAAUUUGCUGGAAGGUACUCCAAAGACGCACUUAGUAGGAUUGAGUUUCCAUCGGAAAGUGCGUAGACUAGAGAAAGUUUCCUCCUAGUCUGCGAUGAGUUCCUCCCAGUUUCUUGUUUUCAUGACUACGUCGUCGACAUAAGCUUCAACAUUGCGGUGAAGUUGCUUUUCGAAGCACAUUUGUAUGGCCCUUUGAUAAGUUGCCCCUGCAUUUUUUAGUCCAAAGGACAUUGUUUUGUAGCACAAAGCUCCGAAAGGCAUGAUGAACGCUGUUUUGGCUUGAUCUUCCUCUUUGAGGCUUAUCUAGUGAUAGCCGAAGUAGCAGUUGAGAAAACAUAGUAAAGCGCACCCAGCGGUGGAGUCGACCACUUGAUCGAUCCUGGGUAGCCCGAAAGGGUCUUUAGGGCAGUGUUUGUUGAGGUCGGUAUAGUCAACACACAUUCUCCACUCGUUGUUUUUCUUACGAACGAGCACGGGGUUGGCAAGCCAGUCAGGGUGAAAGACUUCUUUGAUGAAUCCUGCCACAAGUAGCAAGCUAACUCUUUUUUGAUUGCUUCUCAUCUGUCUUGAGCGAACCGGCGUAGUCGUUGCCGUUUUGGAGUAGCUUUGGGAUCGACAUUGAGAGAAUGCUCAAUCAGCUCCUUGGGCACACCUGGCAUGUCAGUCGGUUUCCAAGCGAAGAUAUCAUGGUUAGCCCGAAGGAAGCUGACGAGCGCAGAUUCCUAUUUAGGAUCUAGCCCUGUUCCGAUCAGGGCUGUCUUGGAAGGGUCGCCCGUCUAGAGGUCGACUGAUUUGAAGUCUUGCUCACUGGCGGGUUUCACCUUUGUGGACCCCGACUUGUUUUCUGGGAUCUCUAAUUCGGUUGGAUGGAGCUUCUUUGAAGCUGUGAAGACUUGUUGCAUGGGACUAGGUGCUUGAGUAGUCACAGCAAUUUUCACGCCUUCAGUGUCGCAUUCAUAGGAUCGCCGUAGAUCUCCUCGCAGCAUAAGUUCUCCCUUGGGGCUUGGCAUUUUGAGUACCAGGUAAACAUAAUGUGGUAUGCCCAUGAACUUGGGGAGUGCUGGCCUUCUGAGUAUGGCAUGGUAAGAUGUCUCGAAGUCGGCGAUUUCAAAUCUGAUGUAUUCGGUACGGUAAUGCUCCUUAGUUCCGAAGGUAACCGGAAAGAAAAACCUUGUCGUAAUGGUAUAGCCGCAUUUCCAGGCACGAUGCCUUAGAAAGGUGAAUCUGUUGGAGUAAGCAUUUCAGUAACGUCGAGGCACAUCUUCUUCAAUGUCUUGGUGAAAAUAACGUUGAGUCCACUUCCGCCGUCAAUGAGUACUUUGGUUAACUUUGAGCCUGCCACAACCGGAUCCAGUACUGGUGGGAAACGUCCUGGCUCUGAAAACUUGGUCCAUUGAUCUUUUCUGCUGAAAGAAAUGGGCACUUCUGACCAUUUUAACGGUAUUGGAUCCGUUGGUUCGAUGGCCAUGAUUUCCCUUAGUACGAGUUUGUUGGCUCGCUUGGAUGCGGUGCCUGGAAUACCGCCGAAGAUGAUGUUGACAGUUUUUGAGGUAGUCUGGAAGUCGCCUUCUUCGUCUUCGUCGUUGUGGACUUUGUUCUUGCCCUUAUCUUUUUUCUUGGUGUACUCUUCAGGAGGCGGUGGUGCGGGUAAGUCUUGCAUGACUCGGCGCAUGCUGUAGCAAUCUAUUGCUGAGUGCUUGCUAGUCGGGUGCCAUGGGCACUGCUUUUUGAGUAGUUCAGUGAAGGUUGGCCCUUCAUCGUUUUUACGGGGUCCCUUUUUCCCAAAGUUGGUCAUGGCGGCAACAGUGUUGUCGAGCUUCCUUUUGCAGUUGUGAUUACUCGAGUAGUUGUUUCGAGUGUUGUUGUUUUGACUUCUAUCUUGGUCAUUGUUGUGGUUGUUGUCGCGUCCACGGUUAUGGUGGGAGCUGAACCGUUCUCGCUCUUUGUCUUCUUCAUCUGCCCACUGCUGCACCAUGACUUUGAGGUCUUUGACAUUAGCUGGUCGUCGGCGACCGAAGUCUUGGUAUGUUCGCCGAUCGUAGAGUCCAUUCUGGAAGCACUCGAUGACGUCUGUUACUGAGAUGUCGUCUAUGGUAGCCUUCUUAUCGAAGAAGCAUCACAAAUAGUCGCGUAAGGUCUCGCCUUCUUUUUGCUUGAUUUGACCUAAGUCAAUCUUGUUGCCUGGUCUAGCCAUGGAACCGGCGAAGUUGUUGGUGAAAGUCUUUGUCAAGUCUGCCCAAGAGUCAAUGGACUUGGGUUUGAGUGACUCAAGCCAGGUCAAUGGUGCCGGUUCCAUGCAUAUGGGGAAGUGGAUAACUUUGGUGUCAUUAUUGCCCCCGACUGCUUGGACGGCUAGCGAGUAGCAUCGUAGCCAUUGUAUUGGAUCUUGUUUGCCAUCAUAUUUGGUGAUUCCAGUAGGCUUGAACUUCUCGGGUAGUUUUGUUUUCGUUACCCGAUUUGUGAAAGCAGGAAAGUGGUUGUAGUUGUCUACUUCUCGCUCGCGCUGACUGCUGAGAAUUUCUCGCAGAUCACUAAAGUUAGACACUUCAUGGUUCUUCCGAGUAGGGCGGAUGCUUUUAACCGAGUUGGUACAGCUGACCUCGCCAACAUCCUUGUGGCGAGCUGGAGCCUUGUGCUUGCUUGGACCUUGGCUGUGUUGCCUAGGUUGGUUGACAACUUCAUUGUUGUUUCUUGGGGCAUUAUUGUUGUCUGCAGCCCCCCUGCUGCCUCCUUGGUGAGCUGUGAUACGAGGAAGAGACGGAAUUGGUGAUUCUUUGUCGAGUAACUUGUAGGCUUGCUCCAUGAGUUGUGCGAUUAGUCCGUUGCCACGCUGCACGAGUUGAGUUGUGGCUUCAUUAUCCCUGUCUUGAGGCAUCAAUGUUGUUAGAAGAUUGAUUGAGGCGAUUGCCGCGAGUGGAGUAUUGUGCUCCUGAGCCUGGACUGCGUCGAAAGCCCUUUCAAGAUUUGUAAUGGGAAUAUUUGUAGCCAUCGACUGCCGUCGCUCGUCUCGAGUAGCGUUGCACAUCCUUCUUUGGUUUCUUUGCUCGGAGGUUUCAUUGUGAGGGGCGUCAGCUGUAGACUCAUCUUCGGAGAUGUUGUCGAGUUGUGGUAAUCUCCUAAGGGUUCUGUUCUGGCUAGUACUCGGGUUGUUAUUCUGAGUAAUAACAAGUAUCUCCCUGUCCGGGUAGUAGCUUUCGGAGCUUGACGUUGCAAUCUCUGUGGAGCUUUCCUCAUGAUUGGGAGUGAGCGGAACGCCCUCUUGAUAUGGGAGGUUGUCUAUAUGAGCGACAAGAUGCGAGUCGUAGUCAUGGGCAAGAAGGGAUGGUCAUAGUCCUAGCCAAUGUACGAAUCUACCUUAUGAUGUUGAUGUUAUUACCAAUCCUUGGGCUGGACCAGAUAAUGGUAUUCUAGCGGAUAAACCAAGUCGGAGUUGAGGUCUUCAUCAUGCCCAAGUUCGAGUUGGAUUCAAGUAAGAAAACCUUGGUGAACUUUAGUUGCGUUGUGGAGUCCGUGCGGGGACCGCUUCAAAGUCGAAACCGACUUGGGCACUGGUUGGGACUGACUAGUCCGAAGCGAAGUCGCAUCCGACGCGUAGUCGAACUCGAACUCGUCGACUUUUAAAUCUUGGUUUUUUUUCGAUCAGAUCUUCUGGUUUCUUCUCCUGAGCGUCGACGAUCUGGCGCCGGAACGAACCCGAGCCAUCGGCAACGCAAAGCCAGGAUCCGAAAACGAAGGUGGCGCCAGCUUCGAUGAAGAAAACGGGCCUGACGAUGACCUUUACCAUUGAGUUCGCGCUGAGAAACUCAACGAGUGCCCCUACUUGGCGCGCCAGCUGUCGGUGUUUUAGACCGGCAACUCGCCUAGGGGGUACCCUAGGUGGUCUUUUGUGUGGUAAGGGUCGUCGAGAAUCAAGGAAUCAAUGGUGACGCAAGGAACACGAUUUAGACAGGUUCGGGCCGCUAGAUCACGUAAUACCCUACGUCCUAUGUGUUGGUUUGUAUUGAUGAACUGGAGUUGUUGUUGAGGGGGGUCCCUGCCCGCCCUUAUAUACACGGGAGGGCAGGGUUACAAGUCUGAGUCCUAGUCGAGUACUAUUACAGAGUUCUACUCAGUAAGGCUCGAGUAGUUUUCCAUAUACACACUUGACUAGUCCGAAUGGGAUACGCCUAUCCCUUGUCCUGAUCGUGUCCGAGUACGCCCCUGAGUGGGCCGUCCAAGGUCUACUCGUGGGCCUGGGGUGCAUGCCCGACACCCUCUAAAGCGGGUGGGAGCACACACACAGUUUGGAUACAGCUGUGAACAGGUGUCAGCGCGUGGGUAGGUGGCUGGCUGGCUGCAUGUAGGGCAUGGGUGGUUGGUGGUGGAUGGGUGAGAUUCCUUUUACAUUCAAAAUUUUAAUCUCUUUUUUCUCUCAAACUGUAAACAUGUUUUAGAUUCUGUUUGAACCAUGAUGCUAUUUAGAAUUUAUGCAACGAAACAAGAUCCAACAUAAAUAUAUUUUGAUUUUUUUAAAAAUCAACAUUUCAAAUGCACUCUUGAACAUUUGAAAUGUUGAAUUAGUGUGUAUAUAAAUGUUAAAUCUAGUCUUCUAAAAUAUUGACUAUAUUGUAGUAAUAUCUUAAACAUACAUUGGAAGAAAAAUUGUUGAAAUAGUAUUUUUUUUUAAAAAAAAGUUGGUGUGUGUAUAAAAAAUGUUGAGCCAUAAUGUUGGCGAAUGUAAAAAAGUUGAAGAAAAAUGUUGGUGUGUGUAAAACAAAUGAUUAGCCAGAAUGUUGGUGAAUGUAAAAAGGUUGAGGAAAAAUGUUGGUGUGUGUAAAAAAAAGAGCGGGUGAAUGUAAAAAAGUUGAAUAAAAAUGUUGGUGCAUAUAAAAAUAUUAAUGAACAUCAAGAAAGGGAAAAUGUUUACGAAUAUUAAGAAAUAUUAGUUAAUGUAAAAAAAUGUUGCUACAUGUAAAAAAUAAAGAAAAAAUGUUCAAAAAGAAAAAUGUGGAUCAACAUGAACAAAAUGUUGGUGUAUUAGAAAAAUGUUCAAAAAUAAUUUCAUUCAAAAUAUUAUCAAGUGUGAUAUUAUUUUGUAGAUCUCAUCGUAAGAAAUGGUAUGGUUCAAUCGAAACUUGAUUCGGACAUUUGGUUUGGAAGCUACAGAUUUUUUUUCGAAUUUUGUUUUGCACAAAAGCUGACCUAAACCCUGUCAGACCUGCUACUUGCACUUGCACCAGCCAAUCAUGCACUGCACUGGGAAAAAUGACGUCUAGUAUCGGUUGCGCAACCAGUACUGGCCAAUCGAUACUAGAGGGGGAGCCCUUUAGUAGCGGUUCAAAUAACCGGUAGGGUACCCUUUAGUACCGGUUGCGAACAUCAACCGGUACUAAAGGGCUUCCCACACCGCGCAGGGGGUGUCCUCAUUGGUACCAACCGGUACUAAUGUGUUUUUCCAUUAUUUUCUUAUUUUAUAUUCCUUUAUUGUAUUUUCAUAUUUUGUAUUUGUUUCCUUUACGUAUACUCGUUCUAAUACGUUUACGCUAAUAUAUGUAAAGUUCUAUUUAUCUUUAAUAUAACAUUUGAGAUAAUAUUAUAUAUAUAUACAUAUUGUGCAUAUACAUAUAUGAAUAAUAUUACACAUUGCAUACUGUUGGCGCUAGAAAUUAGCCGAUUAAACUUCCAGCGUCACACACACGACCCGGGAGAAUCUGCUUAACUCCUGUUCGGGUGAUCGCCCUGGUGCGGUUCGCGCGGCGUGCUAGCCAAUCUGACCUGUUGAUUGGCAAGGAAAGAAACGUGUCAGAUCCCAGAGGUUGCGAUCGGCUAAGGUUCCGAUCUCGAGGAAGCUUAUCAGCGAGUCGGCCGAUUUGCUGUAAUAAAGAAAUCGGCUAUAAUACAGCCGAUUACCAGGCAACGUUGGUGAAGAAAGCUACUAGAGUAAACUAAACAACGCUACAGUAGCAACACUAGGAACAGAUCUAAUCGGCUAUGCAAAAAGCGGUAGAUUAAACACCAAGAUACAAGUAAGCCGAAAGCUCUAAUUCCCAGCCGGAUAACUGGUGAUAAAAACUAGAACAAUAGGUAAAACCUAGAAUUCUAGUAAAUAUCGAUAACGGAUGAAUAAAUCUAACGAAACGAUAGCGAUGCGCCCGAAGUUAGAGCUUAGAUAUUACUCGAUAAACGGAACUUACAGAAUCGGCCGGAGAUCAAGCUGAUGCAGCCCCGCCAACCCGCAUGAACUCGUGAAAGUAAGAAAAGUAUUGGCGAAGUCGCCUGCUUGAAAGUAAAGUGCGAGGAAAUAGUAGGUUGUUGUAUUGAUUUGAUGAUUGAUUACAGAUCUAUGAAGGUGGCUAUUUAUAGCAUGUUACAACCAAUCCCUUAACCGACUAGGACUCUAUCUCUAAUUUUAAACGAAAACGAAUAUUUAGAAGUAUGACUCGUGCCGGAGUUGAUUGCUGUGUUCUGUGGGCCGACCACUUUUAUCCUCAUAAUCCACUCCGAGCCCAUAUUGGCCCAACUAUUCCAGCCUCUCGAUCGGUCGAUUUCCAUCAACUCCCUUCGCUGAAACAUUGCAGCACCAAUCGGCCAAUCUCCAACCGUAGCACCAAUCGGCCGAUUCCCAAUCGUGACCUCCGUGCCUCGCCACAUCAGCUGAUUCUUUCCCUUCUUGAUGCCGAUUCCAUACGUGUCAAAAUCUGGCAUUAACACAUGCCCCCCAGUUUCAGAGUAAAACAUAAUCUUUACUUCAAAAUUCCUUUCAACUUCCCUUCCGAAACAAACGCAUUGAAAAUACCCUUCCGUUUCGCGGUCUUCUGCCUGAUGAUUGCAAUCUUUUCGAAACGGGCGCCCACGACAACCACUCCUCCCAAAAAAAUCGAACCGCCGACGCGGUAAAAAUCCUGCUUUUACCCCUUCUCAGACCACCCUUAAAUAUCAGCACAUCCCGUACUUCUUUUUCACGAGCCCACGUCUUCCUUCUUUGGCGCACUGAUCUCCUUCUUCCUCCGGCGUCUCCUUAGCCUCCAAUCUUUCCUUCCGGUGACCUUUUCCAUCUACAUUCCAUCCCAUCUCUCCGAUGGUGACACCCUCAGGCACUUCACCAACAUCCAAAGUCCCGGAGACAGCCCCACCAACGGCGGCUCCAGUGGCAAUGGUGGCGGCUCCAUCGGCAGGAGCGGGAGCUCCAUCGGCGGGAGCGGGAGCUUCGACGGAGGCCCCAACGACGGCUUCAGCACCUAUAGCUCCACCGGCGAUCCCGUCAACCACGAUGAGCUUCAUACCGGAGGUUUUUACCAAAACUUCUCUUUCUUUAAUACCAAUGCAUUUACCUUAGAUCCGUUCUUACUUCCGCCCCCUUUUUCCUUUUUUAGGUAGUUAGACACUAGAUUACCAUCCGCCUUACCGAAACCCCUUGUCUUAUCUGCCUUGCUCCCAUGGGAAACCCAGAUCCAACUGACUUGAUCAAUUUGGAAACACAUAGAAUUCCAUUCAAGUAAUCAACCAUGGACCUAGACCACUGGUCAGGCACUUUCAGAUCAUGGCCGAAUGAAACCUCCGGUUGGAGGGAAUGGUACGAACGGAUAGCCGCCUCCAAGAGAGUCCAAUGGGACGAGCACAAAAUCGGCCAGUGCAUCGAUCUGUCUUUGUCCCAAAUGGAAAGGAAUGAGCCCUUAGUAAUAGCAGCCUCCUACUCUUGGUCCAACGCUCUCAACGCGUUUCUCUUCGGACAUGGGCCUAUGACUCCCACCUUGGCCGAUGUGGUCAUGUUGACCGGCCUUGACAUUUCCUCCCCUGAUACUCCUUUCCGUUACCUGGCCAAAACAUCCCAUCGGCUGGACACGAAAGGAAUCGACGGAUGGAAAGGAUUCAUCAAGUGCAAUAGGAGAGCCGGGACAGUCGCAGAAAGGGAGCAUGCGGCCUUCCUGAUGAUGUGGCUAGAGAAACACCUCUUUUGCAGGAGGGCAGCUGGUCCAUCUAUUAACACACAGGUUCUGGCCGAGGCGCUAUCUAUAGGAGCUUCUGUUCCUUUUGGAAAGCAUUUAUUGGGAUCAGUUUAUCAUAUGUUGCACCAGAUCGGUGUAAAGCUAUCCAAAGGAGAGCCGAUUGGAAACCCAGGUGGACCCUGGUGGUUCAUCAACUUGUGGCUCAACCUGUACAUGAGCAAGAUCUUCCAGUAGUGAGUGGAGUACAUGACAUUCCCCAACAUCGAAUCGGCAGAGAACCCCACUGUACGGCACCGGUGCACUUCCUUUGGUGAAGCAGCAUCGGCCUUCUCUGGUUUCCCAUAUUUUGCUACCAAGGUGGCCGAAUAUUUUAGAUGCUUCUACAAUGGUUUCAGCGAAGAUGCAACCAGCUGGUUCCCUUAUCAAAAAGAGGAACCACUCUUCGAGCUCCCCUCUUGCUUUGACUCGGCCACCAAUAAAUUUGAUGAGGACCAAAUAGAUGAGUUGAUCAAGCCAGAGAUUCUGCCGGCGAAUUUCUUCUCGUGGAAGGACGCCCCCACUUAUGAGUUUUACAACCCUUCUGUUGCAGCACGGCAAUUUGGCUUAGGUCAACUGCCGAUUUAUGCAUACUUCGCCGAUCGAGCAAAAGUCCGAGACGAGCUCACCAAAGGUCUCAACUACAGUCGGCUGUAUGAUCGGAUCCCAGACUCCAGCACCAUAGACCUGACCAAUUGGAUAGUGGCCCCUUUCGCCGUUCAGCAGUUCAAGCUAUGGUGGGCCGAAUGGAAACAACAUCUAUUCUGCGCUUCUGCAGCGAUAUAUUGCAAUCUCCUGGAUCCCAACAACAUCAACCCGAAUGUCGAGGUAUCGCUCUCUUUUUAGCCGAUUUUCAACUCCCUCUUUUUUUAUAUACUGACCCUUAUCAUUUUUUCAGUCUGAGAGUCGUGCUCCCCCAAGACGUAGUCGGAAUGGCCGGCCGAUAGAGGACCGUUAUCCAUACACAGAAUUUCCCCUCAUCGGCUAUCAUGCCCCCUCCGUUGACGACAUAGCUGGCCGGGCGAAACAAGCGCAGAAAAAGAUCAUCAAGAAAACCAGUCGCCGGGUGCGAGCCCGCACAGAAUCGACCGAUCCAUCCGCGGUUGCAUCGGCGGAAAUUUUGGCUGCGCCGACCCUUCCGGUUGCUGAAGAAGUUGACCUCCAAGCUGCUAUAGAGGCCGGAGCGGCUGCCGCUUCAUUAUUGGUGGAGGCCGUUCAGGUAAACUCACCAUUUGAUUGUCCCCCGGUCAUCACUUCAACGCUAACUUUCCUUAUACCAGGCUGCACAAACCGCUCCGGUGGGCCCAAAGCAAUCGGCGAUGUCUCAAACUGAAGUACCAGUACUACCGCCUACUGAGGUAUAGGGCCUCCCAACUUAACUCUUUUAAUAUUUAAGCGAUAACCUUACUGAUUUUGAUGCAGGUCAUCAGCACACUAACUGUGCUCCCUGAACAGCCACCUGUCAGAGAAGCCCUUCAAGAAGCUGGCCUAAGCAAAACGUCGAUUAUCGUCGAAUCCUCCUCUUCCGAUGAGCCGAUCGUGUCAGUCCCCGAACCAAAGGUAGUGAUUCCGCAGACGCGGAUGGAAGAGAUCUGUUUCACAGAAGUAAGAAGUCUCAUAACCUGCAUUAGCCGAUUCACUAUCAUCAUCGGUUGACUUAUUUCUUCCUUUUGUCUAUUACCUUGCAGGAACAGGACACUCCCAAUAACAGCUUCUUCUUGUUUGCGGUUGCGCUCUCUGUCGAUGAAGAAGUCGCCUCUCGUCAAGUGACCUUGAGCUCAGUACCCGACGACGUCCGUGCCAAGCUCGAAAGUAUACAGACCCUCCUUUAAGAAGACAUCGGCCGAUUGGUAGAGGACGCUUUGCCGAUUCGGUAGCUCUUCGAUGACAUCAGUGGCCGAGUCCCAGAAGAGGCCGAAGAAGCCUUGGCACCCGCCGCAUAUAUCGAAUCGAUGCGGAUCCCGAUUUUUAGGGCUCUGCGUCACAUGGCCGAUCGUGCCAAGCUGGCCAAGACUCAUGAGGAGCAGGACUCAUACAAGCAUCGGGCCCAAGAGGUACACCACCGGAUUCACUUCCUCGAGAACUCCCGUCCUGGGAUUGUUGGCAUGAUAGAUCGCCUCAAACGUCGAAGGGCAGAACUCGCCAAAGAGAUGGAGCAAGUAACCAAAGAGAUAGCCGUUGAAGAGAAGAAGCUUCAGGAGCUCCCUUCCGUUAUCGCCGAUUUAAAGCAGGAGAGGCAGCAUCUGGCCCACGAGGCCCUCAGACUUCAUCGUCACAUGCCAGAAGUCCCGGGGUCGGCGGAGGAUGACCAGCGCGUCUUAGACUCGGCCGAUCAGAUCAGGCGAUGAGCGAUCGCGGCCAUUAAUGCCCUUCUGGGAUGAUCUGUAAAAGUACUGGCCGUUUUGUAAGAACAUUAAUAUCUUUUGACCGACCUUCGCGACGCCUUCUUAUUUAUUACCCCUUUUACUCUGACAGGACGCGUCUUACCAAACCUCCGCCCUUUCUCUUCUUAUAAAUACUGGCCCUGGUUUUGCUCUCGAGAAUACCUGCUCCACUUGAUUCCUCUCUCCCCGAUUACGUUUUCAUCGGGACAUUCGUAGUCAUUUCUUCUUCGCCUUCUUCUUUCUCCUUUUCUUCCGUCAAUCAGGUACGAGAUCCGUCUCCGCUUUUUUCAGUUUGAUUCCUUUAAAUUGUCCUAACUUUUAGGCGGUUAUAUGUUAACCCUUUCAGCCAAGGCGCCUUAGCCCCGAACUCGAACGGGCAAUCGAACUCAUGCACUCUGACGAGCCAUUGUCGCAAGAGGACAGGGACUUGAUCAAGGCACACCAUGAAGAACUCAGAGAUCACGUUCCUGCCGACAUCCAACGGAUCUGGGACUUCAUUGACGACAAUGGUUACAGACGACCGCAAGUUGACAGGAGCCACCCACUCCCUCGUCCGGUUGUUCUUGAAAACGCCACAGCGGGGACAUCUCGCCCGGUGUUGGAUUGGAGCCAUCCUCUUCCUCGCCAGGCUAAGGCGGAGGCCGCAAUGAAAGAUGUGGAAGAACGAAGCACCCGCCUUCUGAUAGAAUUAGGUCAGAUUGAGAGGGAACUCAAGAAGAAAUGCAGUUGAGUAUUUUUGUUCUAAGGGCGACUUGUACCGCGUCUGCCGUGUAACUCAUCGUCCGUACCAAAUGACAAAUCGGCCGAUUUGAACGAUUACUUUUCUCCUCUAGGCGAUUUCAUUUUCUGCAUCGGCUACAUGAUUAUCUAGGAAAUAACCGUUCUGUCCUGCCAUGCCUCAUAAUGAUUCUUAUGCAUCGACCCAUAUACUGGGGUAGUAUCUUUUCAAGUACCUCCUGUUCAAUGCCCUAGUAAAUUCUUCCCCUUCGAUUGUCUCCAGAAUGUACGCGUUUCCCGGAGCGCAUCGACCGAUUCUAUACGGCCCUUCCCUAGUGGGAGACCAUUUACCGAAUUUAGGAUCUUUAGAUCCAAUCAGCACCACUAACUUCCAUACCAAAUCCCCUUGGGAGAACUGCUUGACUUUGACCUUCUUGUCAUACCAUCUGGCCACUUUCGUUUUGUUUUCCUCGAUACCGAUCAAGGCUCUCAAACGCUGACCCGCCAAAUUGUCGAGUUCCCUCUUCAUUUGCGAGGAGUAAUCAUCGGCCGUCAGCUGAUCUUGAAGCGACGUACGUCUUGAUCCCGUUCUCAACUCCCAUGGCAUACGGCCUCAUGACCGUACACCAGUUGAUAAGGAGACACCUUGGUAGCCCCAUGGCAGGCCAUCCUGUAUGCUCAUAGAGCUUCGGUUAGACAUAAGUGCCAUUUUUUGGGUUGUUCCUCAAUCUUCCUCUUGAUCAACUUAAUUAUCCCCUUAUUGGAAUAUUCGGCCUGGCCGUUAGCCUGAGCAUAAUACGGGGAGGGAUUUAGCAGCUUGAUCCCCAUAUCGGCCGUGAACUCCUCGAACUCUCCUGAUGUGAACAUCGUCCCUUGAUCGGUUGUGAUAGUCUGAGGGAUGCCGACACGAUAGACAAUAUGGUCCCUUACGAAAUUGACCAUAGCAGCUGACGUUACGGCCUUUAAUGGAAUCGCCUCCACCCAUUUGGUGAAAUAAUCUGUGGCUACCAGAAUGAAUUUAUGUCCUUUACUUGACGGAGGAUAAAUUUGUCCGAUGAUGUCUAUUCCCCAACCUCUGAACGGCCAUGGCUUGAUAAUUGGAUUCAUAGCCGAUGCGGGUGCGCGUUGCACAUUCCCAUAUUUUUGACAGUCCUGGCAUCCUUUAUAAUAUUUGAAACAGUCCUCAAGGAUUGUCGGCCAAUAAUAUCCAUUAUUCCUAAUCAUCCACUUCAUCUUUUGCGCCGAUUGGUGGGCUCCACACACUCCUUCGUGGAUUUCUCAAAUCAGGGUCUUUGCCUCCUCCGUCCCUAGGCAUUUGAGCAGAACACCAUCAAUCGUUCGGUAGAACAAGUCAUUUUCCAGUAACACAUAUUUUGUGGCCUGAAAUCGUAUUCGCCGAUCCACUUUCUUAGACGGGUCUUUUAAAUAAUCGGCGAUCUCUUUUCAUCAGUCGUCGGCCGCGUGUUCUAGAAUCAUGGCGCCUUGAAUCGGCCGAAAUCCGGACGCGUGAUGGGCAAGCCUGUUGGCUUCUUCAUUAUAAUUCCUGGAGAUAUGCUCAAUAACCGCGGAUUUGAAUUCUUUUAGAAGCUGGAGGCAAUCUUCAUAAUAAAUCCUUAAUACGUCAUCCUUGCACUCGGAUCUUCCUGUCAAUUGGUCCACGAUGAGCAUGGAAUCUCCAAAAAUCUCGACGGCGUUGGCCUUAAUCUCUCUUAACAAUUGUAACCCUUUUAGGACGGCCCGGUAUUCUGCCUGGUUAUUGGUGGCGGAUGCUUCUAUCGGCAGAGAGAAAUCAUAACUUGCUCCCCGAGGCGAUAUGAGAACGAUGCCGAUUCCCGAUCCGGCCCCACAUGACGAGCCAUCAAAAUAUAAGGUCCACGGUACUGGUUCCACGACGGUGAUUUCUGGUCUGCAGUGCUAGGCGACGAAAUCGACCAUAACCUGACCUUUGAUGGCUUUUGUCAAUUCGUAUCGUAGAUCAAACUCCAAUAAAGCCAAAAUCCACUUUUCGAUCUGCCCUUUUAAAAUCGGCAAUGACAGCAUGUAUUUCACUACGUCGUCCUUGCAUACGACUACGCAUUCUGCUGAUAAUAAGUAGUGCCUGAGCUUGGUGCAUGAGAAGUAAAGACAUAAGCAUAGCCGCUCUACCGAGGGAUAUCUUGUUUCGGCAUCCAAAAGUCUUCUGCUAACAUAAUAUAUCACCCGUUCCUUUCCUUCAAACUCCUGGAUUAACGCCGACCCGAUAGCUCGCUCAUCGGCCGAUAAAUAUAGCUUGAACGGCUUACCAGUUUGUGGUGGGACCAACAUGGGAGGAGAGACCAAGUACUGCUUGAUGUCUUCUAGUGCCUUGCGUUGCUCUUCUCCCCAUAUGAAUUCUUGGUCGGGUUUUAAUUUUAAUAACGGUGUAAAAGCUUGGACACGUCCGGAUAGGUUGGAUAUGAAUCUUCUGAUGAAAUUGACUUUGCCGAUUAAUGACUGCAACUCGGUUUUAUUCUGUGGGGCUACGACUUUAUUGAUUGCCACUAUAAUCUUCCGGUUGAUCUCUAUCCCACGCUCAUGAACCAUGAAACCCAAGAAUUAUCCGGCGGAUACGCCGAAAGCACAUUUGUUCGGAUUCAUUUUUAACCCAUGCCUUCUCGUGCAUUCCAAUACUUGCCGCAAAUCGGCCAGAUGUUCCUGGUGUCCUUUUGAUUUGACCACAACGUCGUCGAUGUAAAUUUCUACCAGUAUGCCGAUAAGUUUGUGAAAUAUGUAAUUCAUGGCUCGUUGAUAUGUAGCACCGACGUUCUUCAAACCGAAAGUCAUUACCACCCAUUCGAACAAUCCGAGGUGACCUGGGCACCUGAAAGCUGUUUUCGAUAUGUCCUCUUCGGCCAUUACUUUGUGACCCGCGGCGGCGUCUAUUAAUACGUCGGCCGUCGGCAUCGGGUAUCCGUCCAUCGGCGUAGCCUGAUUAAGGUUCCUGAAGUCAAUGCACACGCGUAGUUUUUUGUUCUUCUUAUAUACGGGCAUGAUGUUCGAAAUCCACUCGGCAUAACGGCAUUGCCGAAUAAAUUUCUCUUCAAUCAACCUCGUGAUUUCGGCCUUUAUAUCAGGCAAGAUUUUAGGAUUACAUCGUCGUGCGGGCUGCUGAUAUGGCCGAUAUCCCAGCUUUAUGGGCAGUCGGUGUUCGACAAUGGACCGGUCUAAUCCGGGCAUUUCAUGGUAUUCCCAAGCAAAGUAAUCUUUAAACUCUUUCAAUAAAUUUGUCAAUUUACAUUUGUACUCUGGGUCCAAAUUAGCACUAAUGUACAUCGGCCUCAACUUGGUACCAUCGCCUAAAGCUAUCAUUUCUAGUGAAUCGGCCGACGUGAAUCCGUGCCCCAGCUUCCCGUCUUCUCGGGCGAACUGAUCCAUUUAAUCUGAAUCUUUAGAGCCGACUGCUCGGAUCGGCUGUAGACCAAAAUCGAACACCUUCAGGAAAUUGGUGUCCCACGUCCUCCCGGAUAUGCACUUGACGUGCUUGUAGCUCCAUUGUUGUGUAUCGGUCGCCGCGACACUGUAUGCGGAAUCGGUGGUGACUAUUUCGAUGUUGUCGCCGACCCAUUGUACGAAGCAUUGGUGCAUUGUAGACAGGAUGCAACAAUUUGCAUGUAUCCAAUCUAGGCCGAGUAGCAUGUUGUAGGACCCUUUGCCAUUAAUAAUAAAGAAAGUGGUGGGAAGAGUCUUACUGCCGAUGGUGAGGUCGACGCAAAGCGCGCCGCGGGCAGGAGACACAUUGCCUUCGAAGUCCUUGAGCAUCAUGUCCAUCUUGGUCAAAUCAUCGUUGCUUUUUCCCAACUUCCGAAACAUGGCGUAUGGCAUGAUGUUGACCGCAGCGCCUCCAUCGACUAGUAGCCUGGUGACAAGUCGACCGUUAACAUGUCCUUUGAGGAAUAAUGCCUUGAGGUGCUGUCAUUUUUCGUCCUCGGGUUUCUCGAAUGUGGCUGUCAUUGGCUCCAAAGCCAAUUGCGCCAUCUGUUCCUCUAUCGCCGAUAUGUUAUGUCGGUCGGCCGGAGUCAUGAAUUCCAUCGGCAGAAUGAAAACCAUGCUGACAUCGGCUGCCGAUUCUUGGUUGUCGUCGUCUUCCCUAUCGUUUCUUUUGGGGUGCCAAACUCGAGGCCUGUCGUUUUUCUUGUCCAUCACCUGUUGCUGCUCUUCUUCCUGCUGUUCCCAUUGGCGGAGAUGCUGGAUUCUUUGUUUUUGAGAUUUAGUCAAUCUGUCAGGGCACCACCUGGGGUUUACCGGUUUAUCCGAUGGUUUGGCGCGUUCCCAUUCUGGUUCCCGUCCCAAGGGGUUCUCGUCUGAUACUCGAGCAUCGGCCAUCUCCUUCAGCCGAUUGUGUGCGCUGACUCUAUCUUCUAGUCGGUUGUGUCGAUUGGUCCUGCCCCCCGGCCUGUCAUAUCGCUUGCGCCUGUCAUCCGACCGAUCAUAUUGGUCACUUCUGCCACCCAGCCGAUCACGUACUGAAAGGCACCGAUCUUCUUGCUCGUGCCAGUUUCCGCUGAUCGGCUCUAGCCUUCCAUCUCUGGAGCGAGAUCUUCUGAAUGAAUGAUUGUUGCGAUAUGGGCCGUUGCAUUCUGGGCAAUUGUUGGCCGAUGGCAACCUUAGGUUACUCUCCCAGCAGUGGAUGAACAACGGGCAUCGCCAGUGAUCUUCAUGUCGCCGCAUCAUCUCUUCCCGGAAUCUUGAACUUUCUUGUUGCCGUUGAUAAUUGUUGAGCAAAAAUUGGAAGGUGAUGGGCCUACGUGGCUCUCCCGAUCCUUCGCCUUCAUCCUCUAUCCGUCACUUCCCUUUGACAUCUUCAGACACCGCUUGAUUCCUGGGGUCUAUGGUGCCGGUCUUUUUAGCUGAUUCUGAUGUUAGCACCUUGGUCUGGAGUUAAUUCCUUCCUGUAUCAACCAUGUUGGUGGGGAAGAGAUGCUGAUCGAUUUUCAUCGGCUUUACUGGCUUUGUCGGGACCUUGAACUUGAGCCUACCUUGCUCAAUGGCUGAUUGUAUUUGCUGUCGGAAGAUUUUGCACUCGUUCGUAUCAUGGGAGGUGGCAUUAUGCCACUUGCAAUAUUUCAUCUUCUUUAGCUGUUCAGCUGACGGGAUCGUAUGGUAUGGUGAGAGAUUGAUUUGUCCUUCCUGGAGGAGGAGAUCAAAGAUUUUAUCAGCCUUUGACGUGUCGAAACCGAAUGCCUCUAGCUCCUUUUUCUCGAACGGACAUGAUAUCGGCUUCUUCCCUUUAACCCACUCUGCCAGGCCGAUUUCUAUUUCUUCUUCGGACUCAGCCCCUUCUAAGUACGCCACCUUCUUCUGGAAAUUCCUCCGUGGAUCAAAGGGAUGUACUUCCUGACCGGACAAUCGAUGUACGAUUUGGCUCAGGCUCUCAAAUUCUUGUGAAGCAUAUUUUUCCUUGAUGUGAGGCAGGAGACCUUGGAAGGCUAUAUCGGCCAGCUGUGCAUCGGUUAGGACUAGGGUGUAGUGUUUGUUCCUGACUUCCCUGAACCUCUGCACGUAUGUGGACAACGGCUCAUCACUCCUUUGUCUGAGGCUAGUCAGAUCUGAAAGUUUCAUCUCAUGCACCCCUGCGUAGAAGUACUUGUGGAACUGCUUCUCCAAGUCGGCCCAAGUGACUAUGGAAUUGGGUGGUAGUGUAGUAAACCAUUGGAAGGCCGACCCGGACAGAGAUGAUGAGAAAAGGCGCACCCGUAGAGCAUCUUGUGUAGCUGCCUCCCCACAUUGGAUGAUGAAUCUGUUUACGUGUUCCACAAUUGAGGUAUCAUCAAGCCCCGAAAACUUGGUGAAAUCAGGAACUUUGUACCGAUGGGGAAACGGUAGUAAGUCAUAGGUAGGUGGGUACGGCGUUCUGUAUGUGUAGGUUUGCACCUUCGGCUUUAAACCGAAUUGCUCUUGAAUCACCUCUGCUAUCCGUGCCGUCCAAUCUGCUUGUUGUUGAUGAACUAUAGGCUGGGGGACCGGCACGUGUUGGUAGAUCGGCAGUGGGAUGACAGGGUGGUGGACGAAGGCGUGCGGCGCCUGAGGUGACGCGGCCGGCUGUGUAGUCGGCAUCGGUUGUCUCAGUGAACCAGCCGUUUCAUCAUAUAGUACAAUCGGCGCAGCACCCCGAAGUGCUUCCGUUGUUUCUGCCCCCCUGCCCAUCUCCAGCGUGGUUGGUUGAUACUGUGGAAUCAUCGGCCACACGGCCGAUUGGAAAGGUGCCUGGAUCGGAGAGCUUCCAUAGCUACUCCAACAAUUUUCUAUAAUUUCUAGCUACCACUGCAGAAAUAAAACAAUAAAUGACAUGAUUUCCAACACUUAUAUACAAAUUUCCUGCAAUUUUUCUAUAAUUUCCUACAAUUUCUAGAUAAUUUCUCUACAUAAUUUUCUAGAUAAGAAAAACAUAAUGACGUCACAGCGGCCACGGGGGCUUACAUCACGGCGGCUGCGAGCUUACGUCAGCGUGAGUUUGCAGGGGCGCCACGCGCGCGCAUUGGGGACAGAGCGGCCGACGUUGGGGACGCAGGCCAAGCGGCGCCGGGGGCGCGGACAGCUGGCAAGGCGGCGACAGUGUCGGGGGUGGCACCGUUGGGGCCGGCGCGGCCAGGGCGGCGUUGGGGGUGGCGGCUUCGGGGUCGGGGUGUGGAUAGGAGGCGGCGACAGCGUUGGAGGGGAAGCGAUGCAGGAGACGGCAGCGGCGCAAUGUCGUUGGAGUCGACGGGGGCGGCCGGCGUUGCGGGAGACGGCAGCGUGUGCCAGGCGGCGUCGAGGGCGCGGACAGCCGGCGAAGCGGCGACGGCGUUGGGGGUUGCGGUGUCAGGGCCGGCGCGGCUGGGGUGAUGUUGGGGGCGACAAUGUCGGGGUCGAGGCGCAGACGGGGAGCAGUGACAGCGUCGGAGGGGAAGCGAUGGAGGAGACGGGGGUGGCGUAGCGUCAUCGGAGUCAUUGGAGGCGACGAGGCUGGGGCGGCGCAGCGUCGGAGAGGAUGGGGGCGACAGCUUCGACGGGGGCGAGAGACGGGGGUGCGGGCAUUAGAGGCGACAGGGCAGCGUUGGAGGAGAUCGACAAGGUGGCGGUGGAUCGCGCAGAGGAAGACGAAACGAGUGAAAAUGGCUAAGUGUUGGCCAGGGCUAGCACUGAGUGGCCUAUAACCCCUAUAACCCCCAUCUAGUAUCGGUUCCAAACUACACCCGGUACAAGAGCCCCUCUAGUACCGGGUAUAAACAACAACCGGUACUAGAGGGGGGGGUGUCUAGUACCGGAGGGUCUCCCCGCGCGGCAAAUGAAAAUGCCCCUCUAGUAUCGGUUGUUGUUAAGCACCGGUACUAGAGCGGUUGCAUGACCGUGUUUUCAUUUUUCUUUUAUUUUACAAUUGCUAUUAUAUCAAUUUAUUGCAUAGUAAAUUAAAUAACAUUCAUAAAAAUUGUAACAAAAAUUUGGUAGCUUCAUGCUUAUUAGAUAUAGACUAUAAAAAUGUCAGAUGCGGUCAAAUAUCAAACAUGGUAAAGUUAUUAAUUUUAAUGAUAGGUUGUAAUGGUCAUAAUACUUAUAUUAACUUUAAAUUUCAAAAAAAUAGAUUUUUUGCCAUGCAAAAAUUUAGAAGAAUAGUGACACUGGUGUUUCUUGAAAUGUUUACCAUGACUUAACCAUGUUCUUGUUUAAUUGUACGUAAAUUUAUUGUUUAAUAUUUAGUGGUGCUUAAAAAAUUGAAAUAUUUAAUAUUUUAACCAUGCAAAAAUCAGUUAAAAAAUAUUUUAGCCAGACAAGAAAGUUAAAUAAGACAUGAGAAUUGUAUUUGGAAAAAAAAGAUCUAACCAUUCAUAUUACAUUAAUGCCUUUGUUGAUAACCAAAAACACAACAUAAUUGCUCAAAUACCUUACGCGUCAUCAUCUAAUGGAACGUUAAUAAUCCUCCUCUUGACGAACAUCCCUUGGUUGUGAUCGCGGCGUAAGUAUGGAGCGUCCUCUUUUGCUAAUAGGAUGCUUGGGUCAACCUCAACUGAAAAUGGAGGAAGAUCAUCAAACUGAUCAUAAUCUUCUGAAAUGUCAGUCUUGUACUCAACUCCAACGAUUUUUCUUUUUUCUAGAAGAACAAUGUGGCGCUUGGGCUGAUCAUCUGACCUAUUAGCACCCUUCCUUAUUGGUUUACUUGCCAUGUCUUUCACAUAGAAAACUUGAGUCACGUCAUUGGCUAGGACGAAUGGUUCGUCUAUGUAUCCAAUCUUGUUGAGGUCCACUAUUGUCAUCCCAUAGUUGUCUGUUAUUACGCCUCCUCCAGUAAGUGUCACCCAUUGGCACCGAAAAAAAGGGAUUUUCAAAGUUCCAUAGUCGAGUUCCCAUAUCUCCUCAAUGACACCAUAGUAUCUGUCUUUUUUUCCACUGCUGUCUAUUGCAUCAAUACAGACACCACUAUUUUAGUUUGUGCUCUUUUGUUCUUGGGCUCUGGUGUAAAAUGUGUACCCAUUUAUCUUGUAUCCUUGGAAUGUCGAUACUAACAUAGAUGGACCCCUAGCCAACCAUGCUAGUUGUUCUUCAAUGGUGUCAUCACCCAUCAGUUUACGCCCCAACCAAGUGCCAAAAGUUUCAAUGUGACGACGUGUAAUCCAGGCCUCAAUCUACCCUUGGUUUCAGGACCGUACAUUAGCCAUGUGCUCCUCCAUGUAUGGAGCGACCAGGGAUGAUUUCUGCAAGAUCGUGAAGUGUGCUUCAUGUAAUAUCUCCUCAUCGAUGUCCAACCAAGCGUUUCUCCCUAGUGUGCCCUUUCCCUUCAAUCUCCCCUCAUGGCAUGAUUCAGGGACUCCAAUCGAACUCAGGUCGUCUAUAAAGUCAACACAAAACUCAAUUACCUCCUCUGUUCCAUAUCCAUUUGCGAUUCUUCCUUCCAGAUGGGCACAGUUACGAACAUACCUCUUCAGAAUUGCCAUAAACCUCUCAAAAGGGAACAUAUUGUGUAGAAAUACAGGACCGAGGACAAAAAUCUCUUCAAUAAGGUGGAGUAGAAGGAAGGUCAUGCUAUUAAAGAAGGAAGGUGGGAAUACGAUCUCAAAGCUGACAAGGCAUUGCACCACAUCCUUCUGCAGCUUUAGUAGAUUGUCUAGAUGGAUUGCCUUCAUUGAAAUCACGUUGAGGAAUGCACAUAGCUUCACGAUUGUCAUUCUCACAUUCUCUGUAAGAAUACCCCUCAGUGCAACAGACAGCAAUUGUGUCAUAAGGACAUGGCAGUCAUGGGCCUUUAUAUUUAUGAAUUUCUUGUGUUUCAAAUUUAUUAAUGCCUUUAUAUUCGAGGAGCGAUGGGACCUUGAUACUAUUCAAGCACUCAAACAUGCCUUCCUUCUCUUCCUUACUAAAGUGUAACUGGUAGGAUGCAAGUAAUGCCCAUUAUCUCUCUUUUCCGGAUGUAGGACAUCUCGUUGAUUCAUACGUUUCAGGUCCCGAUGUGCUUCAAUUGUAUCCUUUGCCUUUCCAUAUACACCUAGGAAGCCAAGCACAUUAACGUAGAUAUUUUUCAUCAGGUGCAUCACAUCAAUUGCAUUACGGACCUCAAGGACUUCCCAAUAAGGUAGCUCGCAAAAUAUAGACUUCUUCUUCCACAUGGGUGCAUGUCCAUCCUCGUUGUUCGGAACAGGUUGGCUACAAGAGCCCUUGCCAAAGACUACCCUCACAUCCUUUAUCAUAGAAAAUACAGGAGGCUUCAAUUCUGAAGGGGCUUAGUACCUUUUUCUUCCUUCCCUUCAAAAUGCUUCCCUUUAUUUCUUAGAGGGUGCUUAUCAAGAGGAAAUCGACGAUGGCCCGUAUACAUGACCUUCUUACAGUGCUUCAAAUACAUGCUGCAAGUAUCAUCUAAACAGUGCGUGCAUGCUUAGAAUCCCUUCUUUGACUGUCUAGACAGAUUACCAAACACCGGCCAAUCAUUGAUGGUUACGAACAACAAUGCUCGUAGAUUAAAUGUCUACUUUUUUGUCCCCAUCCCACACAUGUACACCUUCUUCCUUCCAUAACAGUAGAAGUUCAUCAACCAACAGUCUUAGGUAAACAUCAAUGUCGUUGCCAGGUUGUUCUGGGCCUUGGAUAAUUAUAGGCAUCAUAAUGAACUUCCGAUUCAUGCACAACCAUGGCAGAAUGUUGAACAUAAAUAAGGUCACAGGCCAAGUGCUAAGACCACUGCUGAACUCUCCGAAUGGAUUGAAUCCAUCCGUACUUAAACCAAAAUGUAUGUUCCUUGCAUCAUUUUCAAACUCGGAGCAUAGACUAUCAACUGUUCUCCACUGGGACCGAUAAGUGGGAUGUCUGAUCAUUUCAUCUUGCUUACGUUCUUCUUUGUGCCAACGCAUCAACUUUGCAUGUGCCUUGUUCCUGAAUAAGCGCUUCAACCGUGGUACUAUAGAGAAAUACCACAUUACCUUCGUAGGAACUUUCUUCUUGAUGGCCUCCCCCUCAACAUCACCGGGGUCAUCUUGCCUGAUCUUAUAACGCAGCACUUUGCACACAGGACAAGUCUCCAAUUUCUCGUAUUCCUAACCCCGAUAGAGGAUACAGUCAUUAGGACAUGCAUGUAUCUUUUGGACCUCCAAACACAGUGGGCAGACAACAUUUUUUGCUUCCUACGUUGAGGAUGGCAAUUCGUUCCCCUCAGGAAGCAUGUUCUUUAUGAUUUUCGUUAACUUAUCAAAACUCUUGUAAGAAACUCCAUUUCUUGCCUUCCAUUGCAGCAUUUCCAGUGUGGUACCCAAAUUUUUUUGCCCUUGUUUGCAAUCUGGGUACAACAAUUUCUUAUGAUCAUCUAACAUACGCUCGAACAGUUUUGACUCCUUCACAUUCUCACAGUCUUCCUUUGCAUCUCGCAAUACUUGACCUAGCUCAUCGAGAGGACCUUCUGCCUCGCCCAUCUCUUCUUCGACCUCGCCCAUUGGAGCAUCCGCAAAGACACUUCCUUGAAUCCAGUCAGAAUGUUGUCAUUUUCUUCUUCUUCAUCAUCAUCCAUCAUAACUCCUCCUUCCCUGUGCUUGAUCCAAACCAAAUAGUUUGCCAUGAAUCUAGAACUGUAUAUGUGGGCGUGAAUAGUCUUGCUAUAUGAGUAAUCCUUCUCAUUUUUGCAAUUUCUGCAUGGACAACAAAUAAAAUUGGACGGUGGUUUGUUGGAUUCUGCUUGAUCAAGAAAACCACGCAAGCCAUUAAUGUACUCCUUGGAACGUUUGUCCACGUUGUACAUCUGUUGCCUAUCCAUCUACAAAAUAUUACACAUGGAUUGGUUUUUGAACUAUAAGAAAAUGAGUUGAAAUACUAAUCUAAUUUUUCUAAGUAUAUACACAUGGAUUGGUUUUUGAAGUUGGCUAUCCAUGUACCAAUGGAGGAUGAAGUUUCUAACCUUUAGAACACUUGAAUGAUUGCAAUCCCCAAGAAAUGGUCACAAAUCUGGUAGCACCUCUCCUAUGGUGCUAUGGAUAGGGUGAAGCUUGAGCUGUGAAAAUUGUAGUAAAAAUGUUGAAUAGCUAGAGAAUAUAGAAAAAUUCUUUAAUUAGCGAGAAAUAAACAUUAUUUAUUUAGCUCAUAUUUGCAACUGACUAAACUAUGAAAAAAUUCUAUAUUUCCCACAUAAUUUACUUACCUCAAACAUAACAUAUAAAUGAAAAAUUUCUCCAUUGUAGCUUAUUCUAAAAAUGACUAAUUACGUACCUCUAUUUGAAAAGUACUAAACUAUAAAAUUAUUCCUCUAACCUCAUAUCAAUUUAUUUGACUAGUACGAAUCAUGGCAUCCAAAAUUUUGUAGCUUAUUCUACAAAUCACAAAUAUAAGCCCUAAAUGACACAUUCAUAUAAAUGAAAUUUUUUUCCGUUGUACCUUAUUCUAAAAAUCACAAAAUACUCUAGCUCUUAAGCAUAAAACUUAGUAUACUAAACAUGUAUCAAGGGAGGAUGAAGUUUAGAACACUUGAAUAAGUGAAAUCCCCUAAAUAACACAUUCAUAUAAAUGAAAAUUUUCCCCAUUGUACCUUAUUCUAAAAAUCAUAAAAUACCCUAGCCCUUAAGCAUAAAACUUAGUAUACUAACCAUGUAUCAAGGGAGGAUGAAGUUUAGAACACUUGAAUGAGUGAAAUUCCCUAAAUAACACAUUCAUAUAAAUGAAAAAAUUUCCCAUUGUACCUUAUUCUAAUAUUCACAAAUUACUCUAGCUCUAAAGGAUAAAACUUAGUGUACUAACCAUGUAUCAAGGGAGGAUGAAGUUUCUAACCUUUAGAACACUUGAGUGAAUGAAAUCCCCAAGAAAUGGUCACAAAUCUGGCAAAACCUCCCCCAAUGGAACCAUGGACAGGGUGAAGCUCGAGCUGGAGGAUCUGGCUCGGGCUGGAGGAAGAAGGAGGGUAUUUAUAGAAAGGAAAUUACUACUGGUUGGGGUCACCACAUGGUACUAACGGGGUGCCCUCUAGUACCGGUUGGUGCCUCGAACUGGUACUAGAAGGGGGUUCCACACUAGUACCAGUUGGUGGAAGCAACCGGUACUAGAGGGUUCCCCCUUUAGUACCGGUUGAUGUCAACAACUGGUACUAGAGGGUGGGUGGAGCAUUAGUACCGGAUGGUGGCUGCAACCGGUUGGUGGCUGCAACCGGUAUAAUGCUCACUCUUUAGUACCGGUUGUUGUCCCCAACCGGUACUAAAGGGGUCCUAGCAGGGCGCUCCAGGCCCCUUUGGAACCAGUACUAAUGUUAGCAUUAGUACCGGUUUCAAAUGCAACCGGUACUGAGGCUAGGGAUGAGAGAUCAAUUUUCUAGUAGUGUUCUCUUUUUGGGGGCUCCUAUCUGGCUUCCACAAGCCAGAUAGGAGCCAUGGCUUAGAGCCCAUUAAAAUCCAUCGCACAGCCCAUCAAGCCACCAUAGCUCAGCAAUCACUUCAUUGCCCUAUUGCACGCACCCAGUAUAUAUCUUGGUCUCCCAGGACAGCAACAGCUAGAGGUAGCAACCAUGAUUCUGAAAAUGGAUCAAAUAAGGAUGAAAUUGACAUUGAUGAGUGAUACUAUAGAACAGAUCGGCACAGUCUACCUCAUAGAUAAGCCUGUCAAGAGUUGGAUUGGGGAGGUCCGAAAGGUGGCUUACCAUGUUGAAGAUGUCAUAGACAAAUACUCAUAUCAUAUUCUUCAGAUAGAGGAAGAAGGGUUCCUGAUGAAGUACUUCAUCAAGGGUACCCAUUAUGUCAAAGUUUUCAGUGACAUUCCGUAGGUUGAUGCUUACCAUGAGUCUAGUUUUAGUUGUGUACCUCUGAUCCAUGUCGCAAAAAGAUUGUAAGGUGUUGUGUUAGAAUGUUCGUGGGCUUAAUGCGGCCGCUAGGAGAGCAAGUGUAUGAAGCAUGGUUCAUUCAUCCGGAGCAACGAUAGUAUGUCUGCAAGAGACUAAAAUAGCACACUGGACAUCUAAACUCGUGGCAGAGACCUUGGGAAAUAAUUUUGCAAAGAACUUUGUUGUGUUAGCAACCAUUGGCACAAGAGGAGGCAUUCUGAUAGCGGCAAUAGUGAACCAUUUCGAUGUGCACAACAUCCACACCACCGAUCACACAGUAUCCACAACAAUCACUAUGAAAGCAGACAACAAAUAUUGGACACUCACAUGCGUCUAUGGCCCUCAGGAUGACCACGACAAGCUACUUUUUCUAGAGGAACUGAAGAGCCUACAAGGACAAGUACUCACGGAAUGGGUCAUAGUUGGUGAUUUUAACCUUAUAUAUAAGGCAGAGGACAAAAGUAACAAUAGGCUCAAUAGAAACUUGAUGAACCAUUUCAAGCAGGAAAUUGACGAGAACCAACUAAUGAAAUCAACCUCCAUGGAUGGCGUUUCACCUGGAGCAACGAACAAGAUCACCCAAUGUUCACAAGGAUAGACUGGUUCUUCGGUACAGCAGAAUGGCAUCUUUUCUUCCCAAAUCUUGACUUGCAAGCCUUGCUAACCAUGGGCUCAGAUCACUUCCCAUUAUUUUUGACAGGAGAUGUAGAGAGACAAAACUAUGAGGGCUUUCGCUUUGAAUCUUAUUGGGUGAACAUGCCAGGUUUCUUAGAGAUUAUACAAGAAGUAUGGAGCCAGUCAGUGCAUACUCAAAAUGCCAUACUACAUAUGCAUGUCAAACUCAUUCACACAACAAAGGCGCUUAAAUUGUGGAAGAGAUAGAACCUGGGCAAUCUAGCCCUUCGAUUGGCAAUAGCCAACGAGGUGCUGCCUUUCUUGGAUGCAACUAAAGAACAAAGAGCUCUUACAACAGAGGAAUUAGAAUUUCGAUGAUAUCUAAAAGCGAAAUCGGUGGGCUUAGCUGCGGUUCAGAGAGCCUGUGCAAGACAACACUCCCGGCUCACAUGGAUACGUAAAGGAGACGCAUGCACACGCCUGUUUAUGCUGCAUGCUAACAACAGAAGAAGAAAGCUACACAUCCCGUCCUUAACCACCGUAAAUGGAACAAUGACCAACAACCACCACCAAAAAGAAGAAACAAUAUACAAUCACUUCCUAAAUCUGUUGGGAAUAACACAAGAGAGAUCCCUCAGCCUAAACUGGACAAAUCUCGGAUAUCAACCACAUGACCUGACCGACCUGGAAGCACCAUUUGAGGCGGAAGAAAUAAAAAAGGUCAUCAUGCACUUACCAGCAGAAAAUCACCUGGCCCGGAUGAAUUUAUUGGUCUAUUCUAUAAGAAGUGUUGGGACGUGAUCGGAGAGGAUUUGAUUCAAGCUCUCCAUACCUUCCACUCUCUUAGGACUAGGCGUAUGGAGUUGAUUAACAAGGCCAAUAUCAUUUUGCUGCCAAAGAAAGAAGGAGCGACCAUGGUUGCAGAUUUCCAGCCUAUAAGUCUCAUUAACAGUCUAGCCAAGAUCAUAACAAAGGUGCUAGGAGAUAGGUUGCCUCCGAGAUUGAAUGAACUAGUUUCCGAAUGUCAGAACACCUUCAUAAAAAAAAUAUGCAUUCAUGACAACUUCGUCUAUGUACAGAGUGUGAUCAAGGCCAUGCAUAAAUCAAGGAGACCGGCACGUAAUCUUUGUAAAACUCGAUAUCUCUAAAGCUUUUGACUCGCUUAGUUGGGUAUUUCUCAUCGAAGCAUUACAGGCCCUAGGUUUUGGCCAAAAAUGGAGAGAUUGGAUCACAAUGCUAUUAGCCACCUCAUCAUCCAAGGUGCUACUUAACGGGAGACCCGGGAAAAAAUUCAAGCAUGCUAGAGGCCUCCGUCAAUAAGAUCCACUAUCACCCAUGUUGUUCAUCCUCACCAUUGAACCACUCCAUAAAACUGGUGGAAUUGGCAGCUAGCAACAACAUCAUAAGACCAAUCCUCCCUAGAGUGGCAAAGCUACGGUGCUCCCUUUAUGUAGACGACGCAGAUAUUUUCGCAAACCUGGACAGAACGUAUUGGACAAUUGUUACAUAUCUUUGGAGAAUGUUCAGGACUCAAGAUAAAUAUGACUAAAAUGGAAAUAUUCCCUAUCCGGUGUACCAACGAAACCAUUUCAGAAGCUCUAGAGGACUUCCUGGGAAAAAAAUUUCAUCCUUCCCUGGAAAAUAUUUGGGUUUGCCUCUUCACACGCGCAAACUCAGAAGGGUGGACGUCCAACCAUUAAUUGACAAGAUCGGUGGAAGGCUCCCUGGAUGGAAAGGUAAAAGUUUAUCAUCGGUUGGGAGAGAAACACUGGUGAAGAGUGUGUUAACAUCAUAACCAAUAUAUCACCUCACAGUUUUCCCUACUAAAAAAUGGCUAAUCAAAUAGAUUGAUCACCUGCGUUUCCUUUGCAAAGGAGAGGAACCAGCAAAGGUCAAUGGAGGACACUGCUUGAUUAAAUGGCCAACAGUGUACACGCCUAAGGACAUGGGAGGGCUUGGGAUCCUCUACCUCGAGAGACUUGCGAGGGCUCUAAGAAUGCGAUGGUGCUGGUUCCAUGGGAAGUAUAGCAAGAGACCUUGGGUAGGGCUUGAUAUCCCGUGCAAUAAGAAUGACAAAGGCCUCUUCUAUGCGUCAACAGUAGUAAUGGUGGGCAAUGGAAAGAAAGCAAACUUCUGGCAUUCGACAUUUGGCACCACUCUUGUUCCAACGAUCUAAAAGGAAAAACUUCUCUGUACAACGGGCCCUACAAGAUAACUACUGGAUUGCGCAGGUUUACCCACUCGUGAUGGGGAAGGAAAUUAGAGAGUAUGUGCAGCUGUUUGAGAAAAUAAAUAUGCUACAGCGUGACCCUAAUGCCAAAGAUAAAAUAUCAUGGAGAUGGAUGAAGGACGGGGAGUAUAAGACAAAGAGUGCAUACCGCAUACAAUUCCAAGGCCAACUGAAGAAGUUGAGUAUCACCCCAAUUUGGAAAGCUAGAACUGAACCAAAAUGCCGGAUCUUUGCCUGGCUUCUCCCGCAUAGGAAAAUCUUAACGGCGGGCAACUUGGAAAAGCGGGGGUGGCCUAAUGACCCUUAGUGCAAGCUAUGCAACUUGAACUUGGAGACACCCACACACCUGUGCAAGAACUACCCUUACACAACGGCAGUCUGGGAUCAGCUGCAGGGAUGGUUUUCUCUUAACCACUUACCCCCAAGCAACACAUCGCCUUCGAUCCACAAGUGGUGGAAGAAAUGCAGAAGCAUGAUCGACAAACGGAACAAAAAUUUCUUUGACGGCCUCAUCAUAUAUUUCUGGUGGAACAUUUGGAAAGAGCGCAACAGACGAGUUUUUAAUCAUGAAACCAAACCGGUGGUGGAUGACGUCGUGUUCUCUAUCAAAGAAGGCAUCCAACAGUUCCAGUUGGCCAAUAAAACGCACGAAGCCCCGUGGAGGAGCCAACUUAGCAACAAUUUUGUCUUUUGAAGUGGGGUCUUUCUCUCAUUGAAGUGGAUCUGGCAGUUGUUGUUCUUUUCUCCUUUCCCUCUUGGGAGUUCUGUUUAGUUGGUGCAGUGAGAGCCAUGUACAUAGAGUUUUUUUUUUGUUUUUCUAUCUUAUUUGGUUUUUACCUCUUCUAAUAAAAAUUCGGAAAAGCUUUUGCCGUACGUCCAAAAAAAAUAUUGCUGAUGAAGUAGCUAUGGUAGAACAGGACAUUCAACAAGUUAACUGAUGAAGGAUCAGUGGUUUCAGCAUUCCCAGCUUGUUCCUGACAAACUUGCCAUGAUUGAAAGGCAGCAGUCCCAAGAUGGUUUCCCAGAUUUUGUCAAAGAUGAAGAUCUAGUAGGAAUUGAAAAAAAUAGAAAAUUGCUGUCUGGAUGGCUGUACUCGGAUGAGCUGGAUAGCACCGUGAUAACAGUUUCGGGUAUGGAUGGGUUGGGAAAAUCUACCCUGGUAACAAAUCUUCAUGAACGUGAAAAGGUCAACUUCCCUGUGCAUGCUUGGAUUGUUGUCACAGAUCUGCUCGGCAGACGCUCUGUUGAGAAAGCUACUCUGGAAGAUUGGGAACAUGGUACCACCAGUACCAUCAGAAAUUGACAAAAUGGAUGUACACGACUUGAAGGCAGAAAUAAAGAAAAAACUCCAAAAUAGAAAAUGUUUGAUUGUAUUAGAUGAUGUAUGGGAGCAAGAGGUAUACUUCAAAAUACAUGAUGCUUUCCAGAAUCACCAAGCAAGUCGUAUUAUCAUUACUACACGAAAGGAUCAUGUUGGAGCCAUCGCUUUGUUGGACCACCACCUUCAGCUAGAACCAUUGGAUGGCCCUGAUGCAUUUGACCUUUUCUGCAGAAGGGCUUUUCACAACAAGGAGGACCACAAAUGCCCCAAGGAGUUUGAGGAAAUUGCUACAUCUAUAGUGGAUAGGUGUCAUGGCCUGCCGCUGGCAAUUGUUACAAUAGGCCGCUGGCAAUUGUUACAAUUGACCACGAAAAUACAUUAUUUGGAAUCAAACAUAUAAUCAACUAAGGAGUGAGUUGUCAACAAAUGAUCAUGUCCGAGCAAUAUUAAACCUAAGCUAUCAUGAUCUAUCUUUAGGCCUCAGAAAUUGCUUUUUGUAUUGUAGCUUGCUCCCUGAAGACUACCCCAUGUCACGAGAAAGCCUCGUGCGGCUGUGGGUUGCAGAAGGCUUUGUUCUGAGCAGAGAAAAGAAUACACCAGAGGAGGUGGCUGAGGGAAAUCUCAUGGAACUGAUUCACCGCAAUAUGCUUGAAGUUGUGGACUAUGAUGAGCUCGGAAGGGUUAGCACUUGCAAGAUGCAUGGUAUUAUGCGGGAUCUGGCACUCUCCGUUGCCAAAGAAGAAAAGUUUGGUUCUGCAAAUGAUUAUGAAGCAAUAAUACUUUCGCCGGUUGUCAUUAUGUAGGUGGAAAGUUAAUACUUCACUUAAGGUUAAAUUUCCACGUCUUAGAAGCCUUGUAGCUCAUGGAAUGAUUUCGUCCACCCCUGAUUUGUUAUCCUCAAUUUUAUCUGAAUCAAAGAACUUGACUGUUCUAGAGCUGCAAGAUUCUAAUAUCACCGAGGUGCCCACAUUUAUAGGGAAUCUCUUUAAUCUGCGGUACAUUGGGUUAAGGCGCACCAAUGUCAAGUCACUCCCAGAGUCAAUUGAGAAGCUCUUCAAUCUCCACACUCUGGACAUCAAGCAAACCCAAAUAGAGAAGCUACCACUAGGUAUUGUUAAGGUUAAGAAGUUGAGGCACCUUUUGGCUGACAGGUUCGCUGACGAAAAGCAGUCAGAUUUCAGAUAUUUUAUCGGAGUCGAAUCACCUAAAGGGCUGUCGAACCUGGAAGAACUGCAGACUCUAGAGACAGUGCAAGUGAGCAAAGACUUGGCUGAGCAGCUGAAGAAACUGAUGCAGCUCAGAAGCAUAUGGAUAGACAAUGUAAGUGCUUCUGAUUGUGAAAACCUUUUUGCGACCCUAUCGACGAUGCCACUUCUUUCCAGCCUGCUUAUCUCUGCAAGAGAUGUGAAUGAGACACUUUGCCUCCAAGCCCUUGAUCCGAUUUCCACAAAGCUCCACAGGUUAAUUGUAAGGGGCCAGUGGGCUUCUGGGACACUGAAGUAUCCGAUAUUUCGCAAUCAUGGGGAACAUCUCAAAUAUUUAGCGUUAAGCUGGUGUCAGCUUGGAGAAGAUCCACUGAGUGUGCUCGCUCCACACGUGCCAAAUCUCACCUAUUUAAGUCUUAACAGGGUGAAUAGUGCAAGCAUGUCACACCCGAUUUUAAGGACAAAAUCGAGUGCAUUAAAUACAUGUGCGCCAGGAUCAAGUUACACACAUGUACGACAAUAGUGAAUAUCAAAGACAGUGUUAAAUCGAAUAAAGAGAGUAUUAACCAUUAUUACAUGACCGAAAGUCUCACAUAAACCACAAAGUCUAAUUAUUACGCAGCGGAACUCCAAAGACGAUGACGACUCCACAGGCAGCCGACUGAAGAAACGUACGCCUAGAACUCCUCGAAGUCGGGGUAGUACUCCUCUUCCCAAUUAACUGGGUCUGAACAGCGGUUUUGCAAGGGUGAGUACACUUAUGGUUGGUACUCAACAAGUCGUGGGGAAUAGUGUAGUGUAAGGCUAAUUCAAGGUAUGGCUAAGGCAUAAAUAGCAUUCGCUUUUAAUUAAGUUGGUCAAGUUUUAUUAGCAAUUAACUAAGUAUAAGUUCAUACCACCCGAAAUUAAACAUGAACAAAAAGUAAGCAACAAAUGCAUGAAAUGAUCACAAGUUUAAUCCAUCUUUCGAUAAUAUUAUCAUGUGAGGGUCCAGGCCGCUCUUAACCGUGAGCACGGCUGAUCGAUUAGUUUAACACUCUGCAGAGGUGGCACAUCUUUACCCACAAGUCGCGUAAAAGUUCAAAAGAACUUUGGACCCAACCAUGCGAUGCUAGCUAGGCACCAUACCACACUUCCGAGGUGUGAUUGCAUAGGGACGCUACGAGGCCUUUACAAAGAUUCGCUAGCAAUGUGGUAACCCGCUAAGGUUUCAGGUCGAAGCGAAACAUAGCAGUCCCCUAGAGGGCAUAGUGUCUUAGCCAAGCCCACUUCCCAAGAGAGCGAGUGCUAUAUCCCAUCAACGCCUCCCCUCUUGCCCUUCCGGUAAGGUAACCCCACGCUAGAGUUUCUAAUUAAUCAGCCAAGACCAGAGCCAUUUAGUCUUGUGGUAGCACUGUUUUCCUGGGUGGUUCUCCAUGUUCCGAUUAACAAAUAAUGAUCUUGUCUUAAUGAAAGGUAUAACAGAAGUAAAGCAAGAUUAAGCAUUGUGUGUAGUUAAACCACCAUGUACCAAGUAAGCACUAAGCAUGAGCUACCCAACAUAAAGUAAACCGGUUGGUCAAGGCAAAGGUAAAUCAAUCUAGGCGAACCUUAAUUGGGACCCAUCAAUUUAAUCUUAAUAUGUGCAUAGCGUAAAUGUUAAGUACGAGAAAGUAAAGGUGUAUAGGACAACAAGAUAGUGAUCAAGGACACGACUUGCCUUCUUGGCCUUGCUCCUGCUGUUCGUACUCUUCGAAGGCUUGAUCGGCAACUCCCUCGAACUGCGGGGCGUCUACACGCGUCACACGAGCACAUACAAGCAAACAUAGGCAAAAGUAAGAAAACAGUACACCAAACAUAGUUAAACAGAGAAAAUAAGCUUGAAAAGAUGAUCUACGCUUUAAAACGAACACGUGGAUAUAAAGAACGCGAAAAACGGAGUUAAGAUGCAAAAGAUAUGAUUAAAACAAGAUCCAGGGACCUUUCUGUAAGAAAAACAAAACUUUUAGGGCCUAUCCGCGAAAACCGAGGGCUUAUACGUAAUUAUGCGUAUAAACCGAGGGUCUGACGCGUAAAAACAACAAACCCGGACGGCGGGUUGAUUUCUGGAAAGCUCAAGGGUUAAACCGAAAAAGGCGAGGGCAGAUCUGUAAAUAUUUUCAACGCGAUCUGGACCGCGGGUUGAUUCGCGGGUUGAUCUGGACGCGAUCUGUAAAUAUUUUCAACGCGAUCGGAUCGAGAUCGGACGGCCACGGUCGUCCACGACUCGCGACGGCGGCGGGGAAACAGAGCGGCGGCGGCGGCGAGCGGCGGCGCGCGGCGGCGAGCGGCGGCGGGUCGCCGGAGUUGGCCGAAACGGCGCUCCGGGGCACUAUUUGAAGCGCGGGUUGCACCAGAAGAAAGAGGAGGGUGCGGCGAUCCCGUUUUGGGGGGGUUCUCGUCGUCGGGAGCUCACCGGAGGCGGCGGGCGACGGCGAGGAAGAGGCGGCGGCGCUAGGAGCUCGAGCGGCUAGGGUUUCGGGUGCUGCGGCGCUGGCGUUUGGGCGGAGGAGACCGGGAGGAGGCGGCGGCUUUUAUAGGGCUUGGAGAUAGAGGCCCCGGGGGUUUAAACCCCUCCGAAGGAGGCGGAGCGGAGGGAGUUCGCGGCGGAGACGGCGCGCGGCGGUUGCGGGAGGAGUUCGGCCGGAGGUGGGAGACGGUGGUGGGCCCCACCUGUCGGCGGCCGCGGGCGAAGGCGGGCUGGCGCGGUUGCGCGGGCCGGCGCGCGCGCUCGUGGGCCACGAGGCGGGGGUGAGCGGCAGGCCGGGGUGAAGCGGUGGGCCGGCGCUUCGCGGGCCGCGGAGGAAACGCGAGCGGGCGAGCUGCGGAGCAGGCCGAGCGGAGGCGGAGCUGGGCCGCGGAGAAAAGGAGGAGGGGGCGACGCGGCGGGGAGCUGGGCCGCGCGGGAGAAAAAGAAAGAGGAGGCCGGCGGAGCUGUUGCGGGCCGGUGGUGAUGGUGCGGCUGGGCCGAAGGAAGAAAAAGAAAGAGGAGGGAAGGAAGUUUCGGCCCAGGAGAAAAAGAAGGAGAAAGAAAAAGAAAGAGAAAAAGAAAAGGGGUUUUGGAAUUUGAAUUCAAAUUUGGAAAUUCAAAAUUCAAACUUUGAUUCAAACUCAAGCAACCAAAAAUUAUGCUCCAGCAUGAAUGCACAAAUAAUUCCUAUGAUGAAUUAAUUGAAUUAAAGAAAAUGGAAUUAAAUGCCUAAAAUUUAAAUAACACCUUAAUUUGAGCAAAUUUUAAUGAGUUUGAAUUAUAGAAAUUUUAGGUGUUACAAAUCCUACCGUUCUUUCUGCUGGGUGUUUUCCUCACCUGAAGACGCUCGUCUUGAAGCGAAUGCCGGAUGUCAAGCAGAUGGAAAUCGGAGAUGGUGCUCUUCCACGUAUUGAAGGUCUUUACAUUGUGUCCCUAGCACAACUGGAUAAGGUUCCUCAAGG